rnacentral:lncRNA from 1 species
AUCUAUGCAACAGAGCUUGUGGAAGCUGCUGCCAUAGAUGUCAUUGCGUACCACCAGGGACUUCUGGCAAUUAUGAAGCUUGUCCUUGCUAUUUCAACCUUACUACUCAUAACAACACUCGCAAAUGUCCUUAAAAUUUAUCAGCUUAAUUAUAAUGUUCUUCUACUUUGUCCUCAAAAAGGGACUCCAUUUUCAAAAGCAAGUGUAGCUUUAAGCUUAUUAGAUGGUUUUAUGUCCAAAUAAACAAGCCAGCUGUUCAUUUGAAAUUCAAUUCAUUUGUUCUCUCUGUGUACGAGGUUUGUAAUGCAAAUUUGAUUUUCUAUUUCUAUUGACUAGUUGUUCCACCUGUUGUGCAUAGUAUGGAUCAUUCGUUGAGAGAUUCCUUUGUUUUUGAAUUAUCUUGGCUGAUAUUAUUAGAAGUAAAACAAUAAUACAUAGAGGGAAUUAGGUUUGAACAUUCCUAGAUCUAGUUUAUUAAUUCUACAUGUGAGAUGUGAUUAGGAUAGAGCCUCGAUAAUGUAAAUUCUGGAAAAAGGAGCACACAACUUUCAUUCUUUUUGCUAUUGAAAAUAACACUUCUUAUUCCCAAUUUAUAUAGCACCGUUUAAUUAGCCAGGAAGUUUAUAAGGAACUUGGUUAGAUAGCAUAGAAUUCUUCUUAAUUUGUCAACUAAAUUAAUAUGGUGUUAAAAUAAAGAUACUGACGCACAUAUCUGCCAAAUGAGUCAUAUUUAAUUGAGAACUGAUCUCUAAUCAGUAUUGAAUAACUUUUUCAACGUAUGUUUUCAUAAACAUCCACGUGGGAUGCUAUCUUCUUCGUUACUCAAAAACAAACAAGGCCGAUCGUCAUGAUUGACUUUGAAUGGACCUCUAAUUGAUGUUAAUAAUGUGUUUGAGGUGCCACUGUUUUGAUCCUCUCUUAUGAUUUCCAUUUUGAUAAAUCAGUAUUCUCAAUAUUAGUGGGAGAAAAUAAGUAAUUGCAAAAAGAAAUAGAUUUGAAUGAAUUAUCACUAUCUCAUUUAUAACCUCGAAUAAAUCAAUGUGAACACGAGGUUCAAAAAAUAAUUUAUUUGCAAAAUAUUACAAAUCAACUGUCAGAUGCAUUCACUAACCUAUCAAGGGUGACUAAGUCACAUAUUCCAGCUGCUAAUGCUUCUAUUCGAAUUGAUGUCCCGAUUGGACAAUCUAUAAAUACAAAUGAGUCUAAGCGCCUUUAUAAAAUCCUAGAAAGCGAAAAGGAGCAAAUGAUCUAGGAGAUCAUAAUAUGGAGGCAAUUGAUUUGCACUCCAACUAGUAUGAGUCCGGAACCUAAAUGUGGUCUUUUUAGACUCAAAUAACCGAAAUGAGUGGAAAAAAAAAUAAUGUGACCAAACUAUAUAUAGCACCCUUUUAAAGGGCGUUAUACAUGAAGUUGAUUAGACUAGCAGGUAUAGCGCCUUUAUAAACAGCGUUAUACAUAUUUCGACCCCCCCGGAUUGGGCAUUGGCUUAUUUAAAGGCGUUAAGGAUUUUGCAAAAAUUCAUUCAGAAAUAUUCUCAACUCCUAUUAAAUUUUUCUUCUUGUUAAAUUCUCAAGCAUUUUGUCAUAAUGUCUGAAGAGCGAAAAGUAAGGGUUUCAUUAUAUUGAGGAGUGAGGUUGUAGUGGCGAAUAACUCAGUGAGCUAUAGUUUAUCUCCAUAGCGUCAUAUUAAGUUGCCACUUACAAUGGAGUACGAUAGACUUGUAUCGUUGUUGUGUAACAAAAUGAGUGUGAGCAAACGUUCGGUGAACCUUAAAGUAACAGGAAGAUAUCCGUAUUUUGUCACUCCGCAAGGGAUUGCUUCUUAUGUUGAGUUUAACAUCCAGGAUGAUGAAACUUUGAGUGAUAUUUUGAGGACUACGGAUGAAUACCGGAAAUUUCUUUUGAUAAAAAUGUUAGAAAUGUACGUGAAGGUUGAAGACGUUCGCAAUAAUGAGGUGGCGCAAAGCAGGGAUAACCCUCAGUCAUCGGGUGGUUAUUCUGGAGUAGGUUUUGCCGAACAGGUUCCGGCUGAAAGAGUUUGGCCUGAUUUAAACUUAUCUCCACGAGCGAAUGAGGAGCGAAAAAAUAAUUUCUCUCCUACUUUACAUAAUUCACAAGACGAGUGAUAAACUUCAAUUUUCCUUUGUGUUACGAUAUUUAUUUUUGUUGUAAUGAAUUUGUAUUAACACUCAUAUAUUCCACAGUGGGUACCGACAAGAUAUGAAUUUUACAAGUUAUGAACCCACGCCUAUGUUGGAANNNNNNNNNNNNNNNNNNNNNNNNNNNNNNNNNNNNNNNNNNNNNNNNNNNNNNNNNNNNNNNNNNNNNNNNNNNNNNNNNNNNNNNNNNNNNNNNNNNNNNNNNNNNNNNNNNNNNNNNNNNNNNNNNNNNNNNNNNNNNNNNNNNNNNNNNNNNNNNNNNNNNNNNNNNNNNNNNNNNNNNNNNNNNNNNNNNNNNNNNNNNNNNNNNNNNNNNNNNNNNNNNNNNNNNNNNNNNNNNNNNNNNNNNNNNNNNNNNNNNNNNNNNNNNNNNNNNNNNNNNNNNNNNNNNNNNNNNNNNNNNNNNNNNNNNNNNNNNNNNNNNNNNNNNNNNNNNNNNNNNNNNNNNNNNNNNNNNNNNNNNNNNNNNNNNNNNNNNNNNNNNNNNNNNNNNNNNNNNNNNNNNNNNNNNNNNNNNNNNNNNNNNNNNNNNNNNNNNNNNNNNNNNNNNNNNNNNNNNNNNNNNNNNNNNNNNNNNNNNNNNNNNNNNNNNNNNNNNNNNNNNNNNNNNNNNNNNNNNNNNNNNNNNNNNNNNNNNNNNNNNNNNNNNNNNNNNNNNNNNNNNNNNNNNNNNNNNNNNNNNNNNNNNNNNNNNNNNNNNNNNNNNNNNNNNNNNNNNNNNNNNNNNNNNNNNNNNNNNNNNNNNAUGGGAUGUCAACACAUUACGACUUGUAAGUGAAGUGAUAUAGCUUAUAUGUAAAGUGUUUGACAAUUUGAGUAGCUCAUUAUUUUGUUGUUUGUGCAGUGAAAACGAGCAAGUUAAACCUCCUGCCCUGACUCAAUUGCCCGAAGAUGACAUAUUUAAUCAGGAUCUGGCAGAUGCACAGAGUCAGGAAGAGAACAGUGAUUAUGAUAACAAUGCCGAUGAGUCCGGAGGUGACACACCCUUCCCUGAUGAGGGUGGUGAUGAGGAGAAAGAGAAUUUUGGACCUGAUUUGAUGAGGGAACAUAAUCCACCCCCCAUUAGACUAAGAGUGUACGAGUCCCAAGUGCCGUUUCAUUCAAGGGAGAUUCCCUACCUUGAUCAUUUGCCAAGUAUGCCGGAUGCGGAUGCCCUCACAAGGGAUACUGACGAAAUUCGGACAGCAAUGUGGGAUGAGUCUAGGCCAACGGUGCUGGCAAAUGGCAUGCUUUUUCUGAUAAAAUGCGCCUAAGCAGGGCGGCGAAAAUGUACAGCGUAAAAGAGUGUCGUGAGAUGACGGUAUGAGAGUCAACUCCGGAUGUAUACAAGGUUGUUUGUCGUAGAUGGUUUACGAGUUGUCAUUGGAUGUUGCGUGCGAGCAAGAAGAAAACAGGUAUGUGUUAGUUUUAUUAUUUUACAUAUUGGUUUUAUAAUUUUAUAUGUUUGUUUGUAAAUUAAAUAAUUAAUUUUUAUAAUUAUAUAAGAUUUAAUUAUUAAAUAUUCACAUAUGGGUUUCAGGCUCGAUAUUUGAGGCCCAGUAGCACCAAGAUAUCCAGAAAAAUAUUGUUGUUUUCUCAUUUAUUUUCUUACUAUCGUUGACUAGAAUUGAACAGAGUUUGUAUUUGAUCUAUCAACUAUUUUGACAUAUUUUUGAGUAUAAGAGAUAUUUAAAUGAUUAAUUUCAAUAACUACAGGGAUACUACGCUAAAAGGCACUAUAUUUUACUAUGCUAAAGGGGCACUAUAUCACUAGUCUUUAAGCAAAUAAAUAAUCUAAAUGAGAUAAAAAUAAAAAAUAUAUUUAAUCACAAAACAUUCACGAAAAUACAUAUAUAACAGUAAAAAGUAACUUAUCAACAUUUUUUGGAACAAAUAAUAAUGAUAUCUCAAUUUUUACAUAUUUUUUAGCACACUAAUAUCUUAGUCCGGAUAAAAAUAACAUAUCAGUUUAAUCGCAAAAAAAAUACAAAACAACAUAGAACACAUUUAAAAUAAUUAAUAUGCAUUUUUUAUACGAGUUUCAACAAAAACUAAAUCGGAAUACCUCUGAUUUAUGUUUUUUGGAAAGUUGAAGAUUUGAAUCCGAAACGAGCAACCCACAACGAGAGAAGGCUUAGCUAGGAUGUGGGAUCAAUAAUCUUUACUUUUUGUGGGACGGGUGGGGUCCACUCGAGUUUUUUUGGGUCGUUAAUGGGGUGUUCGCUGGUUUGAUUUUAAAAAUGGUAGGGGGGUGGGGGUUGUUUUGGUUCUGUAACGGGGGAAAGGGAAGGGACGGAUAUUUGAAGGGGUAUAGCAUUGUUUAUUAAGGCGAUAUACAUAUAGCGCCUUAAUAAACUGCACUAUACAUGGCAGUCUAAUCAACUUCAUGUAUAGCGCCCUUUAAAAGGGCGCUAUAUAUAGUUUGGUCACAUUAUUAUUUUUUCACUCAUUUCGGUCAUUUGAGUCUAAAAAGAUCAUAUUUAGGUUCCGGACUCCGAUUAGUAUUUGUCCAAGUGCUUUUAACCCAACGAAACCUCAACUUGUAGCUAUAGCGUCAUUAAUCCAAACCUAGCUAGGGAACAAAGGAGGUAAUGGUACCAUCAUCGAAACGCACAUAUGCACUGUUCGUCUUCAUUCAAUUGCAUCUCCAAAUUUGACGGUAAACAAGAAAUAACAUGAUGACUCCAAAGUACAAGAGUAGAUUCAUUAUAAAGAGUAGGUACCAAUGAAUAGGUUCAAAGAAAUUCUUCUCAUAUAAUAUAUGUUCAGAGGGAACAGCAUACCAUCACUACUAAAGUUAAAUAGGCUUAUGACCAGUUAAUAGCUUUGAACCGCUGCAUGAUUAAUUAGAUUACAGCAUGAUGAUGAAUCAGAACAUGAUUUCUUAGAAACUGAUAGGAUUACCACACUGAGUUUCACAUCUUUACGAGCUUGUGAAUUCGUCCAGUGGAAAUGCAAUUUGUUUACGUCUCUAUAUCUCACAAUUGACGUUACAUUUUGCAACAUUAUUUGGAGGUUUGAAGAAUGACGUUGGCUGUUGAGAAAGUUGUUAUUAUUAUCAUUGUCCAUGGACUGAUUCCAAGGUUCCAACUCAGACAUACAAUAAUUUAUCAGAAAAUGCUGCAAUAAAAGUAGCAGCAUAUGAGUGAAUAGCAUUCCAUAAUAUACUUACUUUACUUAUUAGUAUAUUGUAUACUGCACAACACCCAUUUGUUUGUUUAAAGGGAUCUUGACCAACGAGGACUAAUAUCUAUUUCUUAUUGAACAUUGAUAUACCUGUUCAUAAAAACAAGGGUUCAAAUUUAAGGAUUACGUAGAAGACAUUGUUAACCACAUAAUUCAAAAUGAAAAAACGCUAGAAAAAUUUGUUUGAGAAAAAUUUGAAAAAUUCUUUAGCUCUUCAGAUAGCGAGUAAAUGGGUCAAAAUUAUUUGGACAACAGAGUAGUGUACCCCAAUCAAGAAUUAUGUCGACACAGAUGAAAAUGAAAUACUGGCAUAAAGGCAACUCUCAGCUUAGAAAGUAUGAGAAAAUAUGCAUGCAAACAUUGUGUACGGGUAAAAUCGGGGAUAAAAGUUACCCCCGAUUUCCCGAUGAAGAAACGAAAAACAACGUGAUUCGACGCUGGCUCGAGUAAGGCCGAGGGUGACCGCAGAUCGGAGCCUAGGGGUGGAUGAAUGAUAUGUCAGGGAUCGAGCAUGGACAAACAUGGGAAGAAUCAAGCUCGAGCGAAAUGAAGGAUCGAGUGUAGAGGAAAAUGGUUAAAGAGGACCAAUGAGGAGCCGAAAUAUCCGUCAUCAACCGGAUAUUACGGCACGAAUCACGCCUGAUAUUAACUGCGGAUCAUGUUUUCUUGGGAUAAAAGGAAGGAAAGAAAUUUUACCUUAUUUAAACUUGUAUUAGGGUUAAACCUCCUCUUCAAGUUGUUCAUUCAUUCAGUUGCAACCGAGCUCCAUUCCGAGGGCUCGAUUGGAAUCGGUCUUUAGCAUUCAAAUCUAAUGUCAUGCUUGAUUAUUUCGGCACAUUUGGUUUGAUCGUUUUGUUUUACUUUAAUUCAAUAACUUGUUGUUCUUUGACCAUUCGUAUUAAAUCGAAAUCACGUGUCCUUUAAACCGCGUACAAAUUUAAUUGUUAUCUAUUUUAAGGGUAAAGAGUUUGGCGCCCACUGUAGGGCUAAGGAUAAUAGUGGUGAUUUAAUACGAAUCUUUAUACCACACUCCAUUUUACACUUGCUCUUUGAAUUUUGAUUUCAAGAUUAUUCAAUAUGUCAAAUUCACAAUCUGCUCACUUGAGUGUUGACGCCGAGUCGAGGCCACCACAGUGAAAAUAAUAAUGUGGUGCCAAGCAACGACGUAUCCCUUGUCGACCCUAAUGGCGUUCCAAUCGUUGACUCAGUCGAUGCCAAUUCACAGGUUGCUAUCAACAUCAACCUACCGACUGACCUGAUAAUAGCAUUCACAGGACACCCCGUCCAUCCGCUCGCGAGACAGCCGAAGGGGGAGGUGACGAAGUCAGCUUAUGUUUGAUUUUUGAGAUGUUACAAGCUCACCAAGUUGCAAUAACACAAUUGCAGAGUCAAAAUCACGCACACAACGCGGCCGAACCCGAACGGGUUUUAGAGGAUACUCGGAGAGAAGAACAGAUUUUCACAUAACUCGACGGGACCGGACCCGGGGAAACUUCCGAGGUGAUGAAAAUUCUCGAAGCGCUGACAGAACGAGUGGAAUCGAGCGAAAAAUAAAUAGAGGCAAAUGACAAUAAGAUGGAAACUUACAAUUCGAGGGUCGAUCGGAUCCCGGAAGUACCCCCGAUAUUUAAGGGACCAAAAAGUUCAUUCAGCAACCUUUGCCCCCGAGUGCGGCACCAAAGCCAAUUCUGAAAAGGCUCCGCAUGCCCGAUAUUCCCAAAUACAAUGGGACCACAAAUCCAAACGAGCAUGUGACCUCCUACACGUGUGCAAUAAAAGUCAACGACCUCGAGGAUGACGAGAUCGAGUCGGUGUUGCUGAUGAAAUUUGGGGAAACCUUAUCCAAGGGAGUAAUGAUAUGGUACAAUAACUUACCUCCAAAUUCUAUUGAUUCGUUUGAUAUGCUUGCAGAUGCCUUGGUUAAAUCCCAUGCCAGCUAUAUCAAAGUUUAGACGAGGAAAUUAGACAUGUUAAAAGUCAAGCAAAGGGAUAACGAGAUGCUUAGGGUAUUCGUGUUGAGAUUCCAUAUGGAACGGAUGUACCUACCCCCAGUUGUAGACGAUUAGGCCGUUCAAGCAUUCACUCAGGGACUCAACCCUCGAAGUUCGGUUGCGUCUCAAUAAUUGAAGCAAAACUUGGUAGAGUACCCAGCGGUUACCUGGGCCGAUGUCCAUAAUAGGUACAAGUCAAAGAUCAGAGUCGAGGACGAUCAACUAGGGGCUCCAUCGAGGUCGGUUUAUCCUAAUAGGGCAAACAACAAGCCUAAAAGAAUAGUGGAUCAGGAGUCGAGGCCACUUUGAGAUCGAUACCAGCCUUACAACUCAGAUAGAAGGGGAAACAGACCCAAUAGCCAUCCGACCAGGAACGAUAGAGAAAUGAUCAGGGUCCAAGCAAUAGAGGGUUAGCGAAUGGAAACGGUUUUGACAGAUCACCCGGGGUCAGAGAUUCCCCGAGGCUAUCGGAAUAUAACUUCAACGUGGAUACAGCGAGUAGUGUCAGCCAUCGGUUGCAUCAAGGACACCAAGUGGCCAAGGACACCCCAGUCCGAUCCUGCACAGGGGGAUCACGAUUUGAUACGUAAAUAUCACAGUACUCACGAGCACAAAACCGAGGAUUGUUGACAGUUAAGGGAAGAAGCUGCUCGUUGGUUCAACAAUGGGCAUCUUUAGAAAUUCCUAAAUGAGCGGGCCGAAAACCUUUUCAAAAACGGGGAUGCCAGCAAGAAAAUCGAGCAUGAAGAACAUCAACAUGUGAUUAACAUGAUUAUUGGAGGGGUAGAUAUUCCACAAAUGCCAAUGAUAAAACGCGCUAAAGUAUCUAUCACAAGAGAAAAAUGAACUCGAGAUUAUGUCCCGGAGGGAGCAAUCUCGUUUAGUGACGAGGACGUUGAGGGCAUUAUUCAACCUCACAAUGAUGCACUGGUAAUAUAUGUGCUUAUUAAUAAAUCUCGAGUUAAGAGUGUAUUAAAUGAUCCAGGUUGUUUGGCCAACAUCAUUUAAUAGAUAGUCGUGGAACAACUAGGGCUAUUGGAUCAGAUCAUACCAGCGGUUUGAGUAUUAAACGGGUUUAGUAUGGCAUGUGAGACAACGAAAGGUGAAAUCGCCCUACCGGUCAACACAGUCGGAACCACCCAGGAGAUGAAGUUCUAUAUAAUCGAAGGUGAUAUGAGGUACAACGCCUUGUUCGAGAGACCAUGGGUCCACUACAUGAGGGCGGUACCGUCGACCUUUCAUCGAACGUUAAAAUAUUUUACUCCUGGUGGAAUCAAAAUGGUCUACGGGGAACAACCGGCCGCAAAAGAGAUAUUCUUGUCGAGGAAGAGAUCCCGGUACUGGCGAUCACGACAUCAAAAGGUAAGGGACUGAUCACCAAAUAGAAAUUACAUGUCUCGACCCCAACCGAGCCAGAAAAAUAAGAGGAACGUCUAACGGAUGAGGAAGAUGACUUCGGGGUCCCGAGAUCCUUUGUAACACCUGAUGACACCGAUGCCACCAAGUCAACGAUCGAGGAACUAGAAUAGAUCAUAUUGUUUAAGCACCUGCCAGGCAGAAAGGUAUACCUGGGCACGGGGUUAACCCUCGAGCUCAGGAAAAAACUCAUUGAUUUUCUGAAAGCUAAUGCUGAUUGUUUAGCCUGGUUCGACUUAGACAUGAUAGGAAUCCCACCGGAGAUAACUACUCAAAAUUGAGCUUGGAUCCAAACUUCCACCCAGUCAAACAGAAGAGGAGGCCAUAGUCCAAAGUCAAGCACUCAUUCAUCAAAGAUGAGGUAUCUAAACUCUUAAAAAAUAGGUUCCAUGUGGGAAGUCCAACACCCGGAGUGGAUAGCUAACGUAGUCCUCGUACAUAAAAAGGGAAAAAACUUAGAAUGUGUGUAUAUUAUAAGGACUUGAAUAAGGCAUGCCCAAAGGACUCGUUUCCUUUGCCUAAGAUCGACCGAAUGAUCGAUGCGACGGCAGGGCACGAGACGCUGAGCUUUCUCGACACCUAUUCUGGGUACAACCAAAUACGGAUGGACCCAGGUGACCAACAAAAAACUUCUUUCAUUACUAAGUUCGGCACUUAUUGUUAUAACGUGAUGCCAUUUGGGUUAAAAAAUGCUAGUGCCACAUAUCAACGCCCUAGUUAACAGAAUGUUCGAGGAACAAAUAGGGAAAUCAAUAGAGGUUUAUAUUGAUGAUAUAUUAGUUCAUACCCUUCGGAGUCGGCUCAGGCAAGUUCCUCAAUUUCAUAGUAUCUAGCCGAGGAAUAGAGAUCAACCAUUUUUUUCUUGAAAAAGGGCUUCGACACGUGACAACUCCUUUUUAGAAUGGGAGAUAGAGUGCUAAAGGAGAAGAGUCGCUACCAAACGAUUUUUAAAGGUGCGUUAGGGCAUCUAUUAUGCAAAUAACUUUGUUUGACAAGUCAACACAACCAAAGAUCGGGUAAGGGCUCAAGUUACCUCAAAGAGAAGGUGUUAGGCACUCCUCGAGGUCCACAACUUUGGGUCCCGGCCGAACUUAAGAUUAUGUGGAUUAUGAUUAAGCUAGGUGAUCAAAUAAACAAAGGGAGUUCAGAAGUCACAGAACUUUAUUACAACAUGAUUAAUACAGAUCUUAGUGCGAACAUGGAGAUACAACUAUUUAGAUCUAAUAACAACAUAUAAAGAAAGAAAGGGGGGUCCUACGUUUUCUAGCCUAAAGGAUCACCCCGUGCAACAUUAAUAAUACUUUGUAACUCCCUCAAGAAUGGGGUGUUACUCAUAUUAUUCAGCGGGCACAGACUAUCAUCUCCUGCUACCCGAUUACUAUGUUAAAGUUGUUACCUAAAGCGCAUUAAUUCAAUUAUAAGUUGUACCUGAUGCAUCCACUACCCGUCCCAUACCUAUGGUCCAUGAGGUAUUGGACCUCUAUUUUGGGAGGUUGUAGACCUCACUUAGGCUGAUGAGAAAUGUUAAAACUAAGCAACAUACAAAAAACACAUUGGACUUCAAAUAUGGCAAGUUUGCCUCCACACUUAAACAACAAAUGUACGCGAAACAGGUUUUUCAUGUUAGGCAAUUCACAAUUAAGGAACUUAACUCCCUAUAGGCAUGAUUUCUAGGUGACGGACAUCAAGGCACGCAAGCAGAUUCGGGAACCAAUGAGAUUCAUAGAUAGGAUUGCAUAGGUUAUCACACAUUAGUUAUUGAGAAGGCAAAUUCCUCAAUUACUAGCCAUAUAAUUGUUGCGCCUAGGUGAGUUAUGUGAUAGAGGGAAUGGAAAUUCAGAAUUACUCAUACACUUGAUAAUGGCCUAAGUGAGUGAUGAACAGUGUUUAAAGGGCAUCAUUACCAGUUAUUAAGGCGAGUAGUGGCGUCCUAUAGGCAGGAUUUCUAACGAUUAACAAUUGAGGAGUCUGAUUUUAUUGUUAGACCUUAUAGGCAGAUUUCUCUAGGUGAAAUAUGCAAUACCAUAACAAAUGAUAUGAUUAGAGUCCUAUAGGCACGAUCUCUAGUAAUGCGAAUUACCAGGAAAUUCAACAAUAUUUCCUACGGGCAGGUUCUCUAAUCAACAUAUAGCUACAAAGAUAUUGAGACAUUUGAGUUCAGGCUUUACUAAUAAACAAGUAGUGCAAGUGUGUGUGUUUCCUUAAUGGCAUGCUUUCUACAAUGUACAUAGAGAAUGAACAACAUAAGGCAAGGCAUCAUUCAAUCCUAUAGACAUGUUUUAUACCCAUCAUACGUUAAUAUUAAAAUCUACCCCAUCCCCUUUUACUAACACCCCAAUCGCUUAUACAAAGUUUAUUAUUACAGACCCAAAUUAAUAAUAAAGUAGUAAUAUUACAUAGAAAUAGACAGGCCUAUAGGAGGCCCGAAUAGAAUAACUAAAUACUUAGCCUUACUGGGCCUUCAAAACUUCUGGCAUAGCAGACUUAGACCUUCAACGAAGAACCACACAAUUGCAGGUCCAUAGGGGAGUUCAGACCCCUUUCAAUGAGCCAUAACACCAAAUAUUGCAUCACUUGGAGCAACCAACAUAGAAUAUAGAAUAUGAUAGGGAAGUAGAGCAUUAGGGAUAGUUUGGAGGUUAAGAGGAGUGACUAGGGCCGAGCCCCUAGUGUGUCAGAGUUCACAAGGGCCUCAAUUGGACCCUGAGCAGUGCUCUCACUAGGGAAGCCAACAGAGAACCUAGGUAGCCUUGGCUUUCAGCCGGCUAAGAAUAGGAAUUCAGAAUACCAAAGCAACAAGUAAAGAGAAUGGACAGAAAUUCCCAGAGUGAUCAUACAGCAUAACUGGUCAAGUAGACCAGCAAAAUUCAGUAGCAAAGCAUCACAUAGACAAACAUCAUAGGUAAAGGAAAAUAAGUUUACAGACAUACCUAGAUUGCACUAGUUGACAUUUAAGGGCUUAAAUUAAGUCAAGUCUAACCUAAGGCCAUAUCAAUACAUGGACAUAAUGGAGGUAUACAAAUAUUGAUUAUCACAGAAUGGAGAAAGUAGCAAGUGAACCAAGGCAUACUGAAAAAGCAUGUUAACCUAAGAACAAGGUCCUAGUUAGUUGAAAUAGAAUAUUUGCCUUUAGAAAAUCAGGGUAGCAAGACACAAGUUUAAAACAGAUUUUUGGGCAGUAUUACAAAAAGUACUCCAACAUACACAAGACUUUGUAAAAGUUUAUUCAAGUAAAAGUUAGGGCAUUAUCUAAAUACAAUAGGCAGAAACAAUAUACAACUACAAUAUUGAAGUUCAAAAUUAACAUGUAAAGAUGUUACAGGGUGCAGAACUAGUCUUAGGAGAUAGGGAAUUGCAAAGUGCAAAGCAUAGUGAGUCAUGACAUGAACAGUACAUUACUCCCAUGCACCAAUUAACACAGAAUGACAUCAAGUUGAACACCAUCAUAGUUGAACCAAAAUUCAGAUACAUGUGCAGAAAGAAGGGAAGAAAGCAAACAUUAUGAGAAUUUAAACACUAACCAGUAGCAGAAUUAAAAGAGUGCAGAGUGUAAUAGAAAAAACCCCAAAAUCCCCGAUGCUUUAGAGUUCGCAAGAGACUCGAAAAUGAGCUCCGGGCAGUGCUUGCACCAGAGGAGGUUAUUCAAUAAUUUCAGAGUGUUUUAAGGUAACAGUGAAUGAGUGAGAGAGUAGUGAAAACCAGUAGCCGAAAUUAGGGUUCAGAAAUUUCUCCCCUAAGGGGUUUCAUGAGAGGGGUUUACAUAGUGUAGAAAUCAACCAAGUAAACAUGGAAAACAAAUUAUUCAAACACAAAUAAGGAAAGAUAUACUAGAAUCGAUUUUUUAGGGCGUGAACAAAAGGGUUCAGUAAAUCAAUAGGGAAUAACAAUUAUCACGCAAAUAAUACUAAAAAUAAAGGAAUAUAGAAGAUUAAACAGAGAAUAAGGAAAAUAUCAUACCAAAAAUCAUUUAAAGUCAGAUUUAGGGCAAAAUAAAGUAGAAAAUAGGGAAACAUGGCAGAUUAAACAGAAAUAAGGAAAAGAAUAGUCAAACUCAGAAAAGGAAAAGUAUCAGUCAAGAAUAAGUAAGGAACAGGGAAAAAAUUCAAAACCUAGUUCGAAAAGAAGCAUAGAUAGUCGAAGAUCUCGCUGAAUCGGACCAUAUAGAGUGCAUAUAGACGAAAUAUCGUCUAAAUCUCAUAGAUUGAAGGCGGUGGAAUCCCGUUUGGGUACUGGUACUGCCAAAAUUGGGGAAUGUACCAUAUAAUGUCAUAAUCUUAUAGACAAUAAUGAGGUAACACAUAAAAGGUAAGUAGAUCACAGAGGGAGUCCAUGAUUUACUCGGAUUUGCAGAAGAUAGGGGGAGGCGGAUAGGGUUUCUGAAGGAGGGAGAAGGGAGGUGGGAGGAUACAGAGGCGGCAGGCAAAGGUUUAAUGGGGGUUAGGGUUAGGAGUUAGGUUAGUUAAAGGGAGGGUUUAAUUGUGGGUCGUUGAUCUUGAGAGAUCAACGGCCAGGAUUAAAAGAAAGCUGGGGUGGGUCGUGUAAAGCGGGUACCGACCGGGUUGGGGUUAGUGGGUUAUUAGUAUUGGGCUUGGGGUAAUUAGGCUAAGGUUUGGGGUAAUUGGGCUGAGGUCUGGGUAGUUUUAGAUCCGAAAAUUGGCAUGUUUUGGGCCAGCUAUUAAAUACACAAUAAUUAUUUUAAAAAUAAUUUAUAAAAUAACUAAAAGAUAAUAAAAUGCUACUUGUACAAUAUAAUGACUUAAAAUAAUAACUAAAUAUUAUAAAAAUAUAAAAAUGAUACUUCGGCAUAAAUAACAUAAUAAACGCAAUUAUUUGUAGAACAUAGGCCAUUAUUGCAAAAUUAGAUAAAUAGCUUACAAAUGCUAAUGUAAUUAUAAAAAAUAGAAUAGAAAUGUUUGAAACAUGUAUUAUGGAUGAAAAUAAUAAUUUUGGAUAAUUAAGUCAUCACAAACUAAUUUAAAGGAUAAUUAUUAGAUAUUUAUAUAAUAAAAAUAUAAGAAAAUUAAUUUAAAGCUCUAACAAUUAUGGAAAAUUGUGGGGAAAUGCUUGUGUAGGUUUGUAAACUAAAUGAUGAUGCAAAUAUGCUAUUUUGAAAGAAUAUAUGUAUUUUUAAAAAUAUGAGGGAAAAAUUGGGUAUCAACAUGCUAUAGAAGAUAUCAUCGUGGUUGACAACAUCAACGCAUGCAGAGGCUGACCGGGCGGAUAACCGCAUUGGGCCGAUUUAUUUAUAGGUCAUCAGAUAAAAUCCACCAAUUUUUCUCCUUACUAAAGAAAAAAACGACUUCUCUUGGACCCCGGAGUGCCAAAAGGCUUUAGAAGAACUCAAACAAUACUUAUCAAGUCCUCUUUUGCUGCACACCCCAAAGGCGAACGAGCCGUUGUACCUUUACUUGGUAGCCUCCGAGGUAGCAGUAAGUGGUGUCCUAGUUCGGAAAGAAGAAGGUACUUAGUUUCCUAUCUAUUAUAUUAGUAGAACCAUAUGUGAUGCCAAAAUGAUGUAUCCACAUCUAGAGAAAUUAGCGCUUGCCUUGUUAAGCGCAUCUAGGAAACUAAAACCAUACUUUUAAUGUCACCCUAUAUGUAUCGUGACCUCGUAUCCGCUAAGGAAUGUCAUGCAUAAACCCGAGCUCUCAGGCCGGCUAGAAAAAUGGUCUGUAGAGGUUAGCGGGUACGAUAUUGAAUACAAACCCCGAAUAGCUAUAAAGUCUCAAAAUUUGCGGCCAAUUUCACACCGACCUUGAUCCCAGAGGUCGAUAAAGAAUUAUUACUUGCCUCGGGGACUAGCUCGGGGGUCUGGACCCUAUUCACGGAUGGUUCUUCCAACGCGAAAGGGAAUGGGUUGGGAAUUGACUAACAAUGAAGCCAAAUAUGAGGCUAUGAUUGUAGGUCUACAACUGUCUAAAAUCCUGGGGGCUGAGGUGAUCGAAGCCAAGUGCGACUCUCUCCUCGUUGUUAACCAAGUCAACGGAAUGUUUGAAGUCAAAGAAGACGUGCGGAGAUACUUAGAUAAAUUACAAGUGGGGUUACAUCAGUUUAGCGAAUAGACAUUACAACAUGUGCCCCGAGAUCAAAAUAGCGAGGUUGAUGCUUUGGCUAACUUAGGAUCGUCAGUUGACUCCGAUGAAUUUAACUCUGAAUGUUGGUGCAAUUGAUGAGCUCAGUGAUAGGGGAAGGUCAUGCCGAGGUAAACUCAACGAGUUUGACAUGGGAUUGGAGAAACAAAUAUAUAGACUACCUUCAGAAGGGGAAACUGCCAUCAUAUCCUAAAGAAUCAAGGGCCCUUAGAACUAAAGCAGCCACGUUCAGCUAAGUUGGGGGCCAACUAUACCGAAGGUCAUUUUUCGGACCGUAAGCAAGAUGCUUGGUGACCAAGGAGACCGAUUACGUGAUGCGGGAAGUCCACGAGUGUACUUGUGGAAACCAUCCGGGAGCGGAAUCAUUGGUUCAGAAAUUGAUCAGGGCUGGAUAUUACUGGAACGAAAUGGACAAAGAUGCGAAGGACUUUGUUAAAAAAUGUAACAAAUGUCAAAGGCAUGCCCCGUUGAUCUACCACCCAGGGGAGAUGCUUCACUCGGUCCUUUCCCCUUGGUCAUUCAUGAAGUGGGGGGUGGACAUCGUAGUCCCUUUACCAUGGGCACCCAGAAAAGCGCAGUACAUUUUGCUCAUGACAUAUUACUUCUCCAAGUGGGUUGAAGCUCAAGCGUUUGAGAGAGUUAGAGAAAAAGAAGUUAUCGACUUCAUCUGGGAUCAUAUAAUAUGCUGGUUCGGGAUAUCAACCGAGAUUACGUGUCACAACGGGAGACAAUUCAUCGGCAACAAGGUCAAUAAGUUCUUCGAAGAUCACAUAAUCAAAAAGAUUUUAUCGACCCUUUAUCACUUGAGUGCGAACGGUCAAGCGGAGUCAACAAACAAAACUAUACUGCAAAACCUGAAGAAAGGUUUGACCGACUCAAAAUGAAAGUGGAAAGAAAUUUUGCCCGACGUCCUUUGGGCAUACCGAACAACUUUGAGGUCAAGUACGGUGAAACACUGUUAUCCCUAGUCUACGGCGCAUAGGCUUUGAUUCCGGUAGAAGUGGAAGAAUCGAGCUUAAUAUUUCGAUAUGCUAUGGAGGCAUCAACGACGAGGCCAUGGCCACAAGCCUAAAUUUAGCAGACUGUCACGACCCAAAAUCCCACCACAUGCAUCGUGAUGGCACUUAGUCUCUAAGACUAAGUAAGCCGAUCAUAAUAACAAUUCAAGCCAUUAUUUUUUGAAUUCAAUACAUUUUUUUCAAAACCAAUAGCGAAAAUAUUUAAACAACCUCCCAAGACUGGUAAUACUGAGUUACGAACUCUAACUGAAUAUAUGAAAUGAUCUCAAGGAUCGAAUAUACAAUACUGUUCGAAUAAUAAUUGAUAGUACAACAAAAUGGAAAGACUCUAAGGGACAGCGACGACCAAGCAGCUCUACCUUGAAUCCUUGCGAUCAACACACUAACUCUGCUCGAGUCCAAUAUCUCCAGUACCUGGCUCUGAACAAAAAUGUGCAGAAGUGUAGUAUGAGUACACCACGGUCAGUACUCAGUAAGUAUCAAGACUAACCUCUGUGGAGUAGUGAUGAGAUACAGUCAAGACACUCACUGGUCUAAUAACCUGUGCAAUAUAGCAUACAAAAUAACGGGGAAAAAUAGCAAUGAUGGCAACAAGAAUCAAUCAAGGAUAUAAAAAAUAAGGCCACAAGAACACCAUAAAUAUUGUUCAAACGAAUAAUGAACACAAGUACAACCAAGUAAUCAAGUCCUUCAAAUACAAAUCAUUCAUCUAUAAGUUUUUCAAAUAAAAAUCUUUAGAAUAUAAUCCUUUCAAAUUAAUAUAUUUUGAAUAUACUCCCUUCAAAUAAAUAUAUUUCGAAUAUAAUUCUUUCAAAUAAAUUUCCUUCAAUAUAAUUCUUUCAAAUAAUAUUUUUGAAUAUAAUUCUUUCAAAUAAAAGUCACCCUGUGACACCUCAUUUCAUAAUCAUAAAAAUACGGGUCUCAGCCCACUUUCAGAUUUUCGUAAUACGGGUCUCACCCACUUUCAUAUUUCUACGUCACCUCGUGCCCAUAUUUUAAUCACAUAUGCACGGGCAACUCACGUGCCAAAAUAUCAAUAUAUAAGAUCCGCACGAAUAACUCACGUGCCAAUAAUAAAACCAUCAUUUACUCGCGGAAACUCAUGCCUACAUCUCAUUUCACAACUGCACAGAUAACUCACAUGCCAAUAUCAUAAUCAUUAUAUAUCACGGGACCUCGUGCCCACAUUUCAUAUCACAACCGCACGGACAACUCACGUGCCAAUAACAUAAUCCACCCGGCAAUAGCCACAUGCUCACAAUUUCAAUAUGUAUUAGACUGUUAUCAAAUUUACUGAAUUAACAAAACACGUUGCACAAGAUAUAAAAGAAAUCACAAGGAAAUCACAACAUUACAUAAAAAUCACCAACACAAUAAUCCCACAACACCAUAGAUCAUCCCUGACAAUAGCCACAUUUAUCUCUCCUAUAGUCACCCGUAUCACUCCAUAUAAUAGCCAUCAUUAUCGCUCCUAUAACCACCCUUAUCACUCCAAUAAUAGCCUCAUUUGUCGAUCCGUUUAAUAGCCUCCCUUAUCGCUCUGUUUAAUAGCCUCCCUUAUCGCUCCUUUUAAUAGCCUCCCUUAUCACUCCGCCUAGACAAUAUCUCAACACACAUAACAACAAUGAAAUGUCACCCUUAUACCUGCAUAAUAUUAACAAUGGAAUGCCACCCUUAUAUGUCGUACAACAGUAACCCAAAUCACACAAUAAUUUACACAAAAGAUUAUCACAACAACACCACAUAAUCAACUCGUAAUUACAAAUUGCCCGUAGGCCACAACCUUUCCAAAAGUACAAUAAAAUUAAUUAAUUUCACAGCAAAUAACCCAAGGCUCCACACAACAUAUAUAAAACCUCAAAAACAAUAACAAGGAUGGAAUAAUAGCUCAGCACAGGACAACGCCUUCUUUAAUCCAAAUUUCAGAUAAAUAUACAAAUGCCUCUUUUUUAAGUAAUUAUUUCUAGGAAAUUUCAACUCAACAAAUACAUGGGAUUCACAUAAAAAUCGAAGUGGUAAUCACACCAAAUUAUCAUAUAAAAACAUAUUCGACAAACAAGGAUUUGAGGUAUGGCAAAUAGAGGAUUUAAUAAAUGCCAACAAUUAUCCAAUUUAAUACAUAAAAAAUGCCUAAGACUUUAAACCAAUAAAUUUUGUACAUAUAAGCCCAAGUACGUACUCGUCACCUCGCGUACACGGCUUUUAACCACACAAUUUCCACAAAAGACUCAAUGCCUAAGGGGUAAUUCAUCCACUCAAGGUUAGGCAAGACACUUACCUUUUUGAAGUUAGGCCGAUAUUCCAGAAUAGCCUUCUUGCUUGAAUUGACCUCCGGACAGCUCAAAUCUAUCCAAGUUAGUUGUAUAACUUCAUUAAAAUUCAUCUGAAAUAAUUCCGAAUAAUAUAACGUCGACUUAAAAUUUCGCAUUAAAAAGUCAACCGAAAGUCAAUACGGGGCUUGCCUNNNNNNNNNNNNNNNNNNNNNNNNNUUUCUGCUUUUUUUGAAAGAUGUUGCAAAAACCCAAAUUUCUUCUAUUUAAAUCCGAAUUAAAUGAUGAAUAUAACUAUGUAUUUAUGAAAUAUAAUAAAUUUCGAAUAUAGGACACUUACCCAAGUUGAAGUCUUGAAGAAAUCCUCAAAAUUGCCCAAGAACCGUGCUCCAAAAAUCCAAAACGAAAUGAAGGAAAUGACCAUUUUUAGUCCUUAAGUUUCUGCCCAAUAAAAACACUAAUUUGGUCGCUAAAAAUCCAAUUCUCGUCGUUAAAAGUGCCAAAUCCGGUCGCUAAAGGUGCGCACCAAAUUUGUUUACACCAGCAAUUCAUUCCUAUAAUUCAUUAUCAAACUCCCGGAAGUCUCGAAAUCGAAUUUCGAUCUCUAGAACUAAAAAUGGACCGUUGGAUCAUUACAUGCUUAUGCUCCAAACAAUGACAAAACACCAUACACGUUAAAAACCCAUCCAAAACUCAUCUGAGCCUCAUGGGACCCCAACCAGGUAUACUAACAAGUUCCAAAAUACAAUACAAAAUUAGUCGAGGCUUCAAACCACGUCAAACAACGUCAAAAUUAUGAAUCAUGCCUCGAAUCGAAUUAUGAGUUUUUAAAUCUUCCAACUUCUAUAAUUUAUGCCAAAACGUAUCAUAUCAAUCCAGAAUGACUUCAAAUUUUGCACACGAGUUAUAAAUGACAUAAUGGACCUUUCCAAUUUCUGGAAUCAAAUUUUCCAACUUUUGCCAAAAUGCGAAAUCACCUACUAACUUCCAAAUCCAAUUCUGGACAUACGCCUAAGUCCGAAAUCACCAUACGAAGCUAUUAGAAUCAUCAAAAUUCCAUUUCGGAGUCGUUUUCUCAAAAGUCAAAACUCCGGUCAACUCUUUUCAUUUAAGCUUCAAAAGUAAGAAUUGCUCUUUCAUUUUAAUUCCGAAUUUUCCGAAAACCAAACUCAACCGCACAUGCAAGUCAUAAUACAUAUUACGAAGCUGCUCGGUGCCUUAAACCGUUGAACGGGAUGCCAAUUCACAAACGACAAGUCGGGUCAUUACACAGAUGAAAGGCGAGAAAUCGCCCUAGUCCGGUUAGUACCUUAAAAGCAGUGAAUGGAAAGUUAUUACAACCGAAUAGCAAACCUUCAACACUUCCAAGUCGGGGACUUGGUAUUGAAGAAAGUCAUACUGCAUAUCAAAAACACGAAUGACGGGAAACUAGGUCCAAACUACGAGGGACCGUACAGAGUCACUGGCAUAACUGGGAAAGGCUCGUACCAGCUUGAGUCCGGAAAUGGUGUACAACUCCCAAACAACUAGAAUGUGGCACACAUAAAGCGGUACUACUGCUAAGGUAUGAAUACAUGAAUUUCUUUAAGGUUUAUUACGCUUUGGACUAACCCAUAUAGGUACUCAAUCGAAGUCAAGUCCAAGGAUUAGGUCUGAAAGUACGUGUUGCACUCUUUUUUCCUUCGAACAAUUUUUCCCGAAGUGGGUUUUACAGCAAGGUUUUUAACGAGGAAACAGUAAGCGUGCUACUCUAAUUUUGGAGACCGGCCUAAAACCGGGGACUGCGGAUUACCUGUAUUGGAUUAAUAGUACUCGAGCCCUCUAAAUUCAGCCUCAAGUACUAGGGGACUAUCUCACCCUGAGUCAAGAACCGAAGAUCUAAGAUCGGAAUUUGGAAGGCAAUUUUAUUCGAUAUCGAAAGCCAAAGCUUGAAUAAUAGGAUUUAUUGUAAGGGACAUAUGGUCAAAGGAACCAUGCCCACAUAGCUCGUUCUAGCCAUGGCGGAUAACUUCUGUAUCUUCUAUUACUUACACUACAUUUAAAGUAAUAAACUCAGAAAUUUGUCUUCUUGUUUCAUCGGUCCGCGUUCUCACGAGCAAUGCUAUCGUUACGUCACUUAGAACGAGUGUUGGGUUCAAAACCCCCUAGGCCCACGGGCCACCAUUAACCGGGGGCAUGAAACCCCAAAGGCAAUAAGAGUCCACGAAACCACUCCUAUCCACCUAAAGACCCUUAAGCUUACGAGUCACCGGAGGCACCAAGCCUAUGAGGCAGGGCCUAAAUACGAAUGGCCACGACCGACUUAAAAUACGAAGCCAUUGGAACUUUGAUAAUAAUAUAUAAGCGACUUGGAGACGUUUGAGUUCGUACACAUAAAAAGUAAGGUCCUUAAAUAUUUUAAAUCCACAAGAGAUUAUGUCUGAUCUGGUCAAGUCAAUUGGUCUCGAAUUACGGCCAUGAAAAGAGUCACAUUCGGCAAAUGUCAUGACCCAAUUCUCCCUCCGUAAGAUGUCGUGACGGAACCUAGUCUCUACGACUAGGUAAGACUAAAAAAGAUAUGGAAAUAACAAAAAAUGGAAACAAAACUCAAUAACUAACUGUAACAGAUAACUAAAUAACUGAUAACAAUGCCGCUUGGCAUUUACAACAACCAACACUCUAAUAAUACACAGUAUUCCCAAGACCCGAAACAUCAUAGGUCACAAGCUACAGGAGGAAAACUAGUAUCUCUAUACACCAGAGUCUAAUAAAAGUAGUAAGGAAGGUAAAUGGCAUAGGAGGGAAAUGGGGGGACUUCGAGGUCUACGGAUGCGGCAGAUAUACCUUGAAGUCUCCGUACAGCAGCAAGCACUCUCAGCUAGUAGCGGGGCUGAUAAGAAGUACCUGAAUCUACACAAAAACAUGUGUACAAGAGUAGCAUGAGUACACUACAACGGUACCCAGUAAGUGCCAAGCCUAACCUCGGUAGAGUAGUGACGAGGUGAGGUCAGGCCCACUGGUAUAUAAUAAUAUAAUAAGAGACUUGAAUUUGACAAAAAGAAAACACAACGAUAUAACAAUGCAACAUACAGGGAUAAACAGCAGGGGAUCUCCCGAGAUACCGUCUCAUAGUCCAAAAAUAUAUACGCAGGGAGAAUUCCCGAGGUACCGCCUCGUAGUCUCAAAAGUAAAUAUACAGGGANAACUCCCGAGGAACCGCCUCGUAGUCUCAAAAGUAAACACACAGCUCAACCGAUAAAUACCAUAGUUAACAGCAAGAAUUCUACAGUUAAGACUGAUAAAGAACAAGGAAAAAUAGAAAAUCAACUAGGCAUGUUUCACACAGUUCAGAUAAGCAAUUAAAGAACGUAGACAUGUGAUAUUAGGCUAAUCAGGAUAACUACGCAUGUUGGAAUAGCUCAAUUAAGAAUGAAAACAGACUAAUACUCAUUUAAACGGUAUAACUCAAAUUAAAGGAGAAAACAUGUUACUACUCAGUAAAAUAAAUCGGGUUUUUCAACAAAUAGCACGUGUACGUACUCGUCACCUUACGUACACGGCGCUCACAUAUCACGCCAGUACUAAAUCCUAAGAGAAUUUUCCCCACACAAGGUUAGGCAAGUCACUUACCUCGAAUCAAGCUCAAUCAAUCGGUAACAAUGCCUUUUCCCCGAACAUCUGACUCUGAAUGGCCCAAAUCUAGCCAAAAUCAAAUUCAUACCAUAAAUACAACUAUAAGAAAUUAAUCUAAUUAAUGAAAUCAAAGCUAAAGCAAGAAAUUAGAAAAUCGUCCCAAAAAGUCUCCCCGGGCCCAUGUCUCAGAAUCAGGUAAAAGUCACAAAAUACGAUUACCCAUUCACUCACAAGUCUAACCAUACAAGAACUACUCGAAUCCGGCCUCAAAUCACCUUCCAAAACUCAAAAUUGUAGUCUAUGAAGUUUCUACCGUUUUCCCCAAAUUUCCAACUCAAAUCCCUAAUUAGAUGAUGAAAAUAGCAAUAGAUUCAUGAAAUAUAGUCAAAUCCGAGUUAGAACCAUUUACCCCAACAAUCUCCUUGAAGAAAUCUCGAAAACAUCGCCUCACACCGAGCUCUCAAACUCCCAAAAUCGAAUUGGGUAAUCAACCCUCGAAUACCUCUUUUCUGCCCAGUAAACUCGCUUCUGCGAGCCUUCAACCGCGCAUGCGGUACCGCGCGUGCGGGAAAUCCAUCGCAGGUGUAAAAAUCACUAAAGGGGACUCGGACCGUAUCUGCAGCAAGGGGGCCGCACCUGCGUGUGCGCGCCUGCGGAGCACUGUCUGCUUCUGUUGUCAUUCACCGCACCUGCGGUUAGUAUAACAUAUCUGUAGGCAUCGUAGAUGCGGAAAUUCCCUCGCACCUGUGAUCCCUAGCCAUGCCUCCAAUAUCCGCUUCUGCGCUUUGUGCGCCGCACGUGCAAAAACACCAGAUGCCUGAAGACUUCAGCAACAACACCAAUCCAACUUUUGAUCCGUUAAGCACCUGAAACUCACCCGAGGCCCCCGGGACCUCAACCAAACAUACCAACCAAUCCUAAAAUAUCAUAAGAAUAUAGUCGAGCCCUCAAACCACAUCAAAUAAUGCUAAAAUCACGAAUCAUCCUCCGAUUCAAACUUAAACUUGAAACUUCCAAAUUCGACAACCGAUGCCGAAACCAACCAAACCACGUCCGAUUGACCUUAAAUUUUGCACACGUGUCAUAUUCAUCCCUAGGAACCUAUUCCAACUUCCAGAAUUGGAAUCCGACCCCGAUACCAAAAUGUCCACUACCGGUCAAAAUCUCCAAAACUUCGACUUUCACCAUUUCAAGCCUAAAUGAGCUACAGACCUCCAAAAUACUAUCCGGACACGCCCCUAAGUCCAAAAUCACCUAACGGAGCUAACAGAACCAAUGGAACUCCAUUCCAAAGUCAUCUUCACAUAGUUCCGAUUACGGUCCAAAUCCUAAGGCUUAAACCUCCAUUUGGGGACUAAGUAUCCCAAAACACUCCAAAAACCAAAACGAAACCACUCGGCAAGUCACAAUAGCAGAAAACAAUAUGGGAGAAGUAGUUAAUAGGGGAUCGGGGCUAUAACUCUCAAAACGACCGGCCAGGUUAACAACAACAACAACAACAACCCAGUAAAAUCCCACUAAUGGGAUCUGGAGAGGGUAGUGUGUACGCAGACUUUACCCCUACCCCUAAGGAGUAGAGAGGCUGAUCCGAAAGACUCUCGGCUCAAAACGACCGGCCAGGUUGUUACAGCAAAAAUUAGUUGUGUCAGAAUUAAUCAUUCCAAUAUUUUAAUAAAGACUUCAUUUUAUUUUAUAACGAAUGUCCGAAGUUAAAGCAACUCGGGGUCCGAGAUGAAAUAAUUUAAGUAAAUUUUAUGCUAAGGCAUUGAUGUUGUAUUAAGUCCGAGACGCAGGUUACAUAUCCUGAGUCCUAAACAUAAGCAAAUUAAAGGACACAAAAUGUAGCCAAAGGGUAAUUUUAUAUACAUGUAUUCAUCGAAAUGUAUUUACAGAGGCACGAGGAAAUUCCCCCAAAGCAAAAAAUGUACGAAUACAAAAACCAAAAAGGCAAAAAUAUGCUAAGGCAUUCCCUGCCUAGUCUUCAUCAGAGCUCGGCUCACUAUCCGAACCCUCGGGUUGAUACCUCGCCUUAGUCUCAGCUUCAAGCCUCUUGGCCUCUUCAAUCUCGGCUGCUAAGUCAACUCCUCGUGCUUGGAUCUCCUCGAGAGUCUCUCUCGUUAUAAUAUGGACUUCGGUUACCUCUACAUUAUUCUUGUACUAGGCCAGCAUGUCCUGGGCUUGAGAGACAUCAUUCGAAGCCACCUCCAAUUUGGACUUUAGUGUAGUAAAUUCUUGGUCGAGAGCGUACCGUUCUGCAACGGCCAAGGCAAGUUGCGCCCGGAGCUCCUCAUUCAGCCUAGACCAUUUGUUGGCCUUUUCUCUCAUCACUCGGAGUUGCACUUUGGUCGAUGCCAGUUCCUCUUUGGUGGCAUCCCACUUCGAUGCUAGGAGAUAUAUUUUGCCCCUCGGCUCAUCGGUUAAAGCUUUGACCUCGUCCAUUUCGGACCUAAGCUGGUCGAUUAGGGUUAUUUUCUCCUGAACCUAUGAGGUUUCAGUCUUAGCAUUUGUGUUUAACCUCUUGAUAUCAAUCUCAAGGACCCUUACCUUUUCAACCAAGAGGGCAUGGUCUUGUUUAGAUUUCGAAGCCUCCUUUUGGGGUUUCACCAGCUUGGCCUGAAGGACGGAGCGGUCAGCCAUGUCCCUAAGGGCUUUAUCUUUCUCCUCACAAAGAGCUUUGUACAUCUCUUUUUGCUGGACCUGCUCCUUGAACUCAAACUCGAGGUGACUCACCUUCAUCUUGGACCGGUGAAAGCUUUCAUGGUAAAGCACCGAGGCCUAAGAUAUAAAAAGAAAACUGUUAGAAAAACGUUAAGGCAACAUGAACUCGUUGAGGUAAAGAGGGAAAAGGGUAUACCUGACACAACGCAUGUUGAGCUUCGUUGAAGAGACUUGGUCAAUCUACCUCAUUCAUCUUCACUUGGUCUUUCUUAAUUACCAAGGAACAGAGAUAGGUGGGCACCCUGACUGGCCCAGACAACAUGUUGGUAUCUGCUGGCACCGUGAACAUAAUUGUCUUCUUUCGCUCAAGGUCCACGCUCGAGGCCGAAAAUAGCUUCUCGAGCUUCGAGCUCGAGCUUGGCCCAUCUACUCCCGAUUGUACAACCCUUUUUGGGAUCUCCAGGUGGCCAAAGCCAGAUUAAUCCUCUAGCAUGCCAAUGUCCACACCCUCAAAAAAUAAAUUGAGGGCUUCAUCCACAGCCCGAGACAUGUUAGUUGGCUUCUCUUCAGCAGCCCGAGCUUUACUUAAAGUGGCCUCCAGUCGGGGCGGCGAUUUUUGAAUGUGGAUGACGACCUCAUCCUUAAGAGCGGGAUCGGAGGGUCUUCUUGAGAAGCAGUGGCCACAUGUUCCUCCUUGAGCUCCCGAGCUGAGGAGGAUUCAGCCUUACAAUUGCCCCCUUCCGGGGCUACCAGCUAUCUUGUGCGGUGUCGAUCGGUUCGUGAACAAUGAAAUCCAUGUCCUUAUCAUCCUCGGGAAGUCCUUGAGCCGAUGAAGAGCUUCGGAAUCUGGGACCCGAGCACUAGAAGUUUUCUUGGUGCUCUUUCUAACCCUGAGCAUGAUCCUUUUCUUCUUCUUAGCCUCGGCAGGAGCGUCUGAGGAGUCAGGAGAUCUUUUCUUCUUCAUCAUUUUUCCUCCUUCUUUGCAGCCGCUUUGGCGGCAGGCUGUAAUGAAGCGGAGUAUUUUGUAGACCGGGUCGAGGCCACGACCUUGGUGAUUGCCCAAAGUUUGGUGGUCUUAAGAAAGCAUCAGGAAAUCGUCCCCGACUCUUAUUAGGUACUAUUCUUCCAACGACUAUUUCCACUCACUAUUGAGUGCGGAUUGGAUGUGGAUCAAUUUUUUGUGCCAUUGCCGGGGAGUUUUAACGGUGUUAGCUAUAUAUUUGAGUGUGUUCUUGAAGUAUCCUUUUUUCUUUUUGUGUUACUAAAUUGUUGAAGAAAUCGUAGGUACAAAAUGGCGAACAAUAAGCUCAAAUAUAUGCCAUUGGAAGCCUUGAACGGCGAGGAGGAACAACUCAAUGAUGUACCUCAAGUGCCACAACCGAAUCAUCAAGGCCGGGUUCAACAAGACAAUGUACCCGUACCACACCCACCACACCCACAAGCGGCACAACACCGGAUAUUGCCCAGCGAAGGUUAUGCUAGUGCAAUAGUCCCCUCUCGUAUUAGGGCGGGCAACUUUCAAAUUACAUAUGUGACGCUCACUUUGCUAGAGCAACAAGGCUUUUUCACCGGUUCGCCAAGUCAAAAUGCCUAUAUACAUUUAAAGGGCUUUGUGGAUACGUGUUGGGGGAGCAAGCAAACUAAUGUUUCCGAUGAUACUUUGAGGAUAAGGCUUUUUCCCUUCUCUCUAUGGGGAAAAUCUUUAGACUUGUUGGAACAUUUUCCGAAUCAUUCAAUACAUACUUGGGAUGAAUUGGCGGCAAAUUUUAUUGCUAAGGUUUUCUCUCCCAUGCAUAUGGCUACUCUUCGGGAUGAAAUAUUGGCGUUCAAGCAAGAGCCCGGUGAACCUUUGCAUGAGAUUUAGGUGAGAUAUCGGAUAAUGGUGAAGGAGUGUCCAAACAAUGAUAUGACCGGCAAUAUGAUCCAAUAAAUUUUCUACGUUGGUAUCAAUACUACGAACCAAUGAGUGGUCAAUCAAUUAGCCGGUGGAAACUUUAUGACAAGGUAAUUACAACAUGAUACACCUCCACAAAGAGUUGCAAGACCAUGGGCAAGCCAUUGCCGAAUUAAUACCAACCAUGACUCAACUAGAAAAAUCCCAACUUAAUCAAGUGCAAGCUCCUAAGGAAGUUCAUGCUAUGGAGGGAGUAAAUGUAUUGGUGAAUAAGAAGAAGACCAAGGGUCCACAAAUGCAAACUCUAGUGGAGAAUUAUGUGCAAGAUGAUGGUUGUUUUGAUCAAGAUGAUUCUUAUCAUGAGUAAGAGGAGGAAGUUCAAUAUGUGAAUAAUUUUCAAGGGCAAAGAAACAACUUCCAAGGCUAAAAUAAACAACAAUGGCAAACACAAAAUAACCAAGGCAAUUGGAGUUCUAACAAUCAAGAAAAUUGGCAUAAUAACAACAAUCAAGGAAAUUGGAGUGGAAAGAACCAAGAAAAUUGUGGAGGCAAGAGUCAAGGUGGUUGGGGAAACAAUCAAGGCAACCAGGGGUCGGGUUUUCAAAGGCCCACAAUGUAUUAACAACCGAGAAUACGAUAGUUCAAGUUCUUCAAACAAUAAGAUGGGUCAUGUUGAGAAUACGUUUAAGCAAAUGAUGGGAAAAAAUGCCGAUUCGGAUGCCCAACUUGCCUCACACAACACAUCAAUCUGUAAUCUUGAAGUUCAAAUAUGAAAAAUCUCUCAAGCUCUAAAUUCUCGUCCUAAGGGUUCACUACCAAGUGACAUGGGGGUGAACCCAAAGGAUGGUAGCAAUACAGGGCAUGCUAUGGUGGUUAUAACAAGAAGUGAAAGAGGCGGGAAUGCACCCACCUCAAUUGAAAGGCAACUUGUGGAUGACGACCAAGUGGUACAUGAGGAGGAAACCCCAAACAUUGUUGUUCAAGCAAAUGAUGAGGUUCGAAUUGACAUUGAUGAUAGUAUUGAAGAGACUCAAGAAGAGGUGAACCCGUCUAGGGAGCACAUCAUUGACAUACCGAAGCCGGUAGUAUAAAAGGCCAAGGCACCAUUGCCUAAGCCUCAAAGACUUGCCAAGAAAAAUGGCGAGAAUCAAUUCAAGAAGUUCAUUCAACUGAUGAAGAGUCUUUCAAUUAAUAUGUCAUUGGUAGAAGCUUUAGAACAAAUGCUUGAUUAUGCAAAGUUUAUGAAAGUUCUUAUGACCAAUAAGAGGUCAAUGAAUUUUGAAACUAUCAAGGUCACUCAUCAAGUGAGUGCAAUUGUUCAUUCCAUGGCUCCUAAGUUGGAGGAUCCCGGUGCUUUCAUGAUUCCUUGUACAAUUGGGAGUGUCGAGUUUGCUAAAGCUCUUUGUGAUCGUGCGGCGAAUAUUAAUUUGAUGCCUUAUUCAGUUUUCAAAACUUUCAGAAUUGGGCAUCCAAGACCCAUAUAUAUGAGGUUGCAAAUGGCCGAUCAUACUAAGAAGAGGCCGUUGGGAGUGAUUGAGGAAGUUUUGCUCUGGGUUGAUAAGUUCAUUCAACCGGCGGACUUUGUUAAUCUAGAUUGUGAAUUUGAUUAUGAAGUGCCUAUAAUUCUUGGGAGACCUUUCCUUGCUAUGGGUAAGGCUCUUUGUGAUGUGGAAAUCGGAGAACUCACUUUCCGGGUUGGUGACGAAAAGGUGGUAUUCCAUGUGUGUAAGUCUAUGUGACAACAAAAUGUCAAUGAGGUGUGUUCUUUUGUGGACUUGGUGACCGAUGUUAUUGCUGAUGAAAUAAGUGCUACAAUCAACAUUGGUGAUAUGUUGAAAGCCGUUUUGCUCAAUUUUGAUGAUGAUGAGAUGGAUGAGUUCAUGGUGUGUGUGAAUUCUUUGUAAGGCAUGGGGUCGUACAACUAUGCACCCCGGAAAUUAUCUUUGGAUCUUGAGAAUAGGAAGACUCCUCCUACAAACCCUUCUAUUGAAGAGCCACCUACUUUGGAGUUGAAGCCAUUUCCUCCACACCUUUGAUAUGAAUUUCUUGGCCAUUCUUCUAUUUUACCGAUUAUUCUUUCCUCUUGUUUAACUAACGUGCAGAUUGAUUCCACAUUGGCGGUGUUGCAAAAGAGGAAGAAGGCUAUUGGGUGGACUUUGGCGCAUAUUCGGGGUAUAAGCCCCGCAUUUUGCAUGCAUAAGAUCAAGUUGGAGGAUGGUGCUAAACUGUCCAUCGAACAUCAAAGAAGACUCAAUGAGGCUAUGCAAGAAGUGGUCAAGACGGAGAUUAUCAAAUGGUUGGGUGCCGAGGUUGUCUACACCAUCUCCGAUAGUUCAUGGACCUCUUCGGUUCAAUGUGUCCCAAAGAAAGGGGGCAUGACGCUUGUUACCAAUGAUAAGAAUGAGUUUAUUCCUACAAGAACAGUGACCGGUUGGAGGGUUUUUAUGGAUUAUCAUAAGCUCAAGAAAGUCACAAGGAAGGAUCACUUUUCACUUCCUUUCUUGGACCAAAUGCUAGAUACAUUAGCCUGCCGUGAUUUUUAUUGUUUUCUUGAUGGCUACUCGGGCUACAACCAAAUUCUUAUUGCUCCGGAAGAUUAAGAGAUAACAACCUUUACAUGUCCUUAUGGUACUUUUGCUUUCAAGAAGAUGCCUUUUGGUUUGUGCAAUUGUCAUGACACCAAUUUCCCUCCGUAGGAUAUCGUGAUGGAACCUAGUCUCUACGACUAGGUAAGCCUAACAUUUGUUAACAAUUGAACAGAACAAAAUUAACAAGUACCAAAACAAAACUAAAUAACUGAUAAAACCUUCUGAAAACAGAAUCUCAUCAAUAUACACCCGAAAAUAGGUGGAACUGAGUCAUGAUCUCCAUAGAGUAUAACUAGAGUACUACUACAUCACUGUACGAAAGGAUAUACAACAAUAAAUGAGAAUAAGGGGAGGUGACUCCGAGGUCUGUGGACGCCGAGCAGGCAUACCUUGAAGUCUCCGAUAAGGCAGCUAGGAGGUAAUCUCUAAUGACCGGCAUGAGCAUACAUACCUGGAUCUGCACAAAAAAAAUGUACAGAAGCAUAGUAUAAGUACACUACAACGGUACCCAAUAUAUAUCGAGCCUAACCUCAGUAGAGUAGUGACGAGGUCAGGUCAAGACACCUACAAAGAUAUAAAUAAAUAGUAUAAAAAUAUAAUACGGAUAUGUAACAGAAAGUGAAGAAAUAACUAAUACGGAACAAGAUGAUAGUAUGAACUAGUACCAAAAAUCAACAAUAGAAAUAGCAUAAAAGUAGCAACUAAAGGGGACAUAAUGAUCAUGUACGGACAACAACUGCUAGAACAAAUAAGAGUGAACAACAAGAUAUAUUCCCACCAAAACACUUUGCAACAUGAAAUAAACAGCAAUAAUCACAACGAGGUACUGCCUCGUGUAUAAUGAAAUCAAAACCGAGGUACCGCCUCGUAUAAUCAAGAAUCACAAUCGAGAUACCGCCUCGUAUUCACAUAUCUCAAUUUCAAUCACAAUCCUUCCUUAUACCGCCGCGUGAGCCUUAUAUUUGAAAUAGGUUUUGAAAAUAGUUUUUCCAAAAUAGCUACCCACUUUAGCCCACCUUAUGAAGUCGUGUGACUUCACGUAGUUCCCCUAUAAGCAACACGCACAUUAGUCCCACCUUAUACCACCACAUGCACAUCAACCCCAAGCCUUAUACCGCCGCACGCGCGUCAAUAUCAUAUCACAAUAACAAUUCGCACCACAAGUGCCCAUAUAUCACAACUCGCUAACGACAAAAAUAUCAAUAUUUCCACAACAAUAGCUCAUGGCUCUACCACAACGUAUACAAGAAUAUCAACAACAACAAUGAAUUAAAAAUGCUCAAUAAAAUAGAUAUUUCAACAAUAACCAACAUUGCCUCAACAUAUUAACGGCUUUCAUAACUUCAACACCAAAUAACUCAAUAAUGAGAGAGAUAAUGUAUAACCACGAUAUCAUAUAAGACUAACUCACAAUAAAAGAGAUAAUAUUUAACAAUGAGUCUCAAACAAUGGAAAUCAACAUGUAAAAGGGAUAACAUAAACAAUUACUUCAAGUAACGAAAAUCAAUAAAGAAAGAGAUAACACUAACAAUAACUUCAAAUAAUAACAAUUAACAAUGAAGAGAUAGCAUGUAACAAUAAAAGAGGCAACAAAUUCAACUAAAGCAUGGGAGCAAUUUAGUAAGUAGGAUGUAGAACAAGUACUAAGCAAGUCAAUUAAGUCAUGUAAGGAUAGUUUAACACAAUUAAGGAUAAAUUGACUAUGGAAAUUUAGAACAUAAUAUGGCAUUUCAAUUAAAGCAUGGAAAUAGUCUAAGUAGCCUAAACCAGUCAAAUACCAUGCACAACCUGUAUACCCACUCGUCACCUUGCAUACACAGAUUUCACUUAGCACAAUUGAAUCAAACAAUACCAAUCAUAAGGGGUAGUUCCCCCACACGAACUUAGGCAAGACACUUACCUCAACUAGUCUAGUUCAACACUCAAAAAUAGCUUUUCCCUUAAAAUCCACCUACACACGGCUCAAAUAUAACAAAAAUCGACUCAAUAUUAUCAAAAAAUGUUAGGGAAUUCAAUUGCAAUAGAUAAAGUUAAGAUCUUUAAACAUUUUCCAAAAAGUCAACAAAUGUCAACCAGGGGCCCGCUUGGUCAAAACAUGUGUCCAAUGGUAGAUUUCGUCUACACAUGACCCCACGAGUCUAUAUAUAGGAUUAGUUUCACAAUUCGAGUCCAAAUCGACUCUCUAAACUUAAUUUCUUACCGAACAUGCUCAAGAACUGUGUGAGGGUCUCCAGAAGUGCUGGGGUGGCAAUAGGCGCCGCGGGUGCCUGUCCUCCGACUGAAGCUACUGGUGUCUCCUCUGUCACAGCUCGGGUAGGUGCUCUGGAUGCACCACGUGCCGCUCAUCGACCUCACCCCCGGCCUCUCGCGGCUCUAGCAGGGGGAGCGGGUGUCUGAUCGUCGGAUCCAGUGGUACAUGUCCUCACAAUCUGUGAGAGAAUAGAAAGUCAAAGAUUUAGUUUUCGAAAUCAACCAAUUCACACAAUAAGGAAUCAAAGAAGUGAAGUUUCCUAACAAUUCCUUAGCCUCUUGAAGAUAAGUACAUACGCCUCCGUACCGGUCCACACGAUUCUACUAAACCUACUUAUGACUCGUAACACCUAUGAACCUAGAGCUCUAAUACCAACUUGUCACGACCCCAAUUUUCCUUCGUAUGAUGUCGUAAUGGCACCUAGUCUUUAAUACUAGGUAAGCCUAACAUUUGUUAACAAUUGAACAUAAUAAAAUUAACAAGUACCAAAAUAAAACUGAAAAACUGAUAAAACCUUUUGAAAACAGAAUCUCAUCAAUAUAUCCCAAACCAGUAAAACUAAGACAUAAGCUUUACAGAGUAUAACUAGACUACUACUACAUCACUAUCCAAAAAGAAAUACAGCAGUAAAUGAUAAUAAGGGAAGGUGACUCCGAGGCCUGCGGACGCCGAGCAGGAAUACCUUGAAGUCUUCGAUAAGCCAGCUACCAGGUAAUCUCUAACGACCGGCACGAGCACAAGUACCUAGAUCCGCACAAAGAAAUGUGCAGAAGCGUAGUAUGUGUACACCACAAUGGUCCCCAAUAAGUAUCGAGUCUAACCUCAGUAGAGUAGUGAUGAGGCCAGGUCAAGACACCUACUAGGAUAUAAAUAAACAGUAUAAAAAUGUAAUACGGAUAUGUAAUGGAAAGUGAAAAAACAACUAAUACGGAACGAGAUGAUAGCAUGAACUAGUACCAGAAAUCAACAACAGAAAUAGCAUAAAAGUAGCAACUAAAGAGGCUACAGUGAUCAUGUAUGGACAACAACUGCUAGAACAAAUAGGAGUGAACAACAAGAUAUAUUCCCACCAAAACACUUUGCAACAUGAAAUAAACAGCAAGAAUCACAACGAAGUACUGCCUCGUGUAUAAUGAAAUCAAAAACAAGGUACCGCCUCGUAUAAUCAAGACUCACAACUGAGGUACCACUUCGUAUUCACAUUUCUCAAUUUCAAUCACAAUCCUUCCUUAUACCGCUGCGUGAGCCUUACAUUUGAAAUAGGUUUUGAAAAUAGUUUUCCCGAAAUAGCUACCCACUUUAGCCCACCUUAUGAUGUCGUGUGGCUUCACGUAGUUCCCCUAUAAGCAACACGCAUAUUAGUCCCACCUUAUACCGCCACAUGCACAUCAACACCAAGCCUUGUACCGCCGCAUGCGCGUCAAUAUUAUAUCACAAUAACAAUUCGCACCACAAGUGUCCAUAUAUCACAACUCGCCAACGACAACAAUAUCAAUAUUUCCACAACAAUAGCCAUGGCUCUACCCCAACGUAUACAAGAAUAUCAACAACAACAAUGUAUGAAAAAUGCUCAAUAAGAUAGAUAUUUCAACAAUAACCAACAUUGCCUCAACGUAUUAACAAUUUUCACAACUUCAACACCAAAUAACUCAAUAGUGAGAGAGAUAAUGUAUAACUAUGAUAUCAGAUAAGACUAACUCACAAUAAAAGAGAUAAUAUUUAACAAUGAGUCUCAAACAAUGGAAAUCAACAUGUAAAAGGGAUAACAUAAACAAUUACUUCAAGUAACGAAAAUCAAUAAAGAAAGAGAUAACACGAACAAUAACUUCAAAUAAUGACAAUUAACAAUGAAGAGAUAGCAUGUAAUAAUAAAAGAGGCAACAAGUUCAACUAAAGCAUGGGAGCAAUUUAGUAAGUAGGAUGUAGAACAAGUACUAAGCAAGCCAAUUAAGGCAUGUAAGGAUAGUGUAACACAAUUAAGGAUAAAUUGACUAUGAGAAUUUAGAACAUGAUAUAGCAUUUCAAUUAAAGCAUGAAAAUAGUCUAAUUAGCCUAAACCGGUCAAAUACCACGUACAACCUGUGUACCCACUCGUCACCUUGCAUACACGGAUUUUACUUAGCAUAAUUAAAUCAAACAAUACCAAUCCUAAGGGAUAGUUCCCCCACACGAAGUUAGGCAAGACACAUACCUCAAUUAGGCUAAUUCAACACUCGGAAAUAGCUUUUCCCUUAAAAUCCGCCUCCACAUGGCUCAAAUCUAACCAAAAUCGACUCAAUAUCAUCAAAUAGUGCUAGGGAAUUUGAUUAUAAUAGAUAAAGUUAAGAUCCAUACACUUUUUCUAAAAAGUCAACAAAAGUCAACUUGGGCUCCACCGGUCAAAACACGUGUCCAAUGGUAGAUUCCGUCUACCCAUGACCCCACGAGUCCAUAUAUGUGAUUAGUUUCAAAAUCCGAGUCCAAAUCGACUCUCAAAACUCAAUUUCUUAUUUUUCAAAAACAUGACAAAGUUUCACAAAUUUUCACUUUGAUUCAUAUGAUUUUGAUGUUAAAAUCUAACAUAUGUUGAUGGAAUAUGAUUAGAAAUAGAUUAGAAUCACUUACCCAAGGUUUGUAGGUGAAAAUCCCUCUUCAAAUCGCCUCCUACCGAGUCUAGGGUUCAAAUAUGAGAGAAUGAGUUCAAAACUCCCGUCCCUCGGCUUUUUGUCCAGCCGCAGAUGUCGCAAAUGCGACCAGUGGUUCACAAUUGCGAACCCCGCAAAUGCGAAGAAUCCCUCGCAAAUGCGAAGACCUUCCAUUUUUGUUGUCAUCGCAAAUGCGACGAAAAGUUCGCAAUUGCGAACCUUGGACCUCCGCAAAUGCGACCAUGAAGAUCGAAAAUGCGAACCAGCUCUCCCCAGGUAAUUAUCGUAAAUGCGAACCCAGCAUACUUGGCCUAACAUCGCAAUUGCGAUCCAAAAACUCGUAAAUGUGAGAUCUGAAGCACCUGUGCAUAAACCAGCAAACUUAAACUUUAUCAACACUAUGCUAAGCGUCUGAAACUCACCCGAGCCCUCGGGGCGCCAAACCAAAUAUCCUCACAAGUCAAAAAAUAUCAUACGAACUCGCUCGCGCAAUCAAAACACAAAAAUAACAUCUAAAACUACGAGUUGAACUCUAAAAUGCAUGAAUUUUAAAGAAAUUUUCAAGAACUCCUAGAAUUACAAUUAGACGUCUGAAUCCUAUCAAAUCAAGUCCAAACGACACCAAAUUUUGUAGACAGGUUCUAAAUACCAUAACGGACCUAUUCCAAAUCCUAAAAUUAAAUUCUGAACUCGGUAUAUAAAAGUCAGCCUACAGCCAAACUUUUCAACUUAAAAUUGCCAAAUUUCGGCAAAUCAACACAAAUCAACCUACGAACUUCCAAAAUCUAUUUCGGGCAUAUGCCUAAGUCCGAAACAUCGAUACGAAGCUAUCAAAGCUAUAAAAAUAUAGUUCCGGGGUCAUUUUUACAAAAGUCAAAGUUUAGUCAACAUUUUUAAAUUUAAACUUCAAAGUCAAGAAUCAAGGGUCAAAAUAAACCCGAAAGCUUUCUGAAAUGAAACUAACCAAUCUGUCAAGUCAUAAAAGCAUAAACACACAAGUGUGAAGCAAUAAAAAGGGUAACGGGAUGCAAUUACACAAAAUGAUCGAUCGGGUCGUUACAGCAAUGCACCGAUGACUUUUCAACGGUGUAUGAUGGCUAUUUUCACGGACAUGGUGAAGGACUACCUUGAAGCUUUCAUGGAUGACUUCUUGGUGGUUAGGGAUUCUUUUGAUGAUUGUCUUGCAAAUUUGGGCAAAGUGUUGGCUAGAUGUGAAUAGACCAAUUUGGUGCUCAAUUGGGAAAUGUCAUUUCAUGGUCGAGGAAGGCAAUGUCCUUGGCUAUAAAAUCUCAAGGAAUGGAAUUGAAGUUAAAAAAGCGAAGAUUUAGGUGAGUUAUAAGCUUCCACCCCUAACAUCGGUGAAGGGUGUGUGUAGUUUCUUAGGCCAUGCGGGUUUCUACCGUCGUUUUAUCAAAGAUUUUUCUAAAGUGGUGAACCCAUUGUGUAAUCUCCUUGAGAAGGAUGCCAAGUUCCAUUUCAAUGAUGAUUUGUAUGAGGGAUUUCUAACUAUUGAAGCUCAAGUUGACAUCCCCUCCUAUCAUUACCGCUCCAAAUUGGAGUUUGCCUUUUGAACUCAUGUGUGAUGCAAGUGACGUUACGGCUAGGGCUAUUUUGUGGCAAUGUAUUAACAAGGUUAUUCAUCCAGUUUACUAUGCUAGUAAGAUCAUGAAUAGUUCCUAAGUCAAUUACACCAUUACGGAGAAAGACCUUAUUCCCAUUGUGUUUACAAUUGAGAAGUUUCACCCGUACUUGAUGGGUGCCAAAGUUAUUGUCCAUACGGAUAAUGCGGCGCUUCGCUAUCUUAUGAGAAAAAAGGAUUCUAAAGCUCGGUUGAUGAGAUGGGUACUCUUGUUGCAAGAAUUUGAUAUUGAUAUUCAAGAUAGGAAAGGUAGAGAAAACCAAGUGGGGGACCACUUGUCUCGUUUGGAGGAGGAGGGGAGGCCACAUGAUGGCCUUCAAAUCAAUGACUCAUUUCUCGAUGAGCAACUUUAGGAAAUUUCAAUAAAAGAGGUGCCAUGGUUUGCGGACUUGGCAAAUUUUCUUGUGAGUGAAAUUAUUCCGGAUGAGUUCUCUUCAAACCAAAGGAAGAAGCUCAAAAGAGAUUGUCAAGAUUAUUAUUGGGAUGAACCAUACCUUUUCCGGAUUUGUACGGAUGGGGUGAUUAGAAGGUGUGUACCAGAAGAAGAGUAAGGCGAUAUUCUUGGUGCUUGUCAUUCUUCGCCAUAUGGUGAUCGUCAUGGUGGAGCAAGAACGGUGGCCAAAGUUCUUAGUUGUGGUUUCUAUUGGCCUACUCUUUACAAAGAUUCAAGUGACUUAGUGAAAACACGUGAUGAAUGCCAACGGGCCGGUGGAAUUUUAAAGAAAAAUGAGAUUCCACUCACAACCAUCUUGGAAUUGAUAUUUUCUAUGUUUGGGGCAUUGACAUUAUGGGCCCUUUUGUGAGUUCUUGUGGAAACAGUUAUAUCUUGGUCGUGGUAGAUUAUGUGUCCAAAUGGGUUUAGGUUGUCGCCUUACCCAACAAUGAGGCAAGAAGUGUAGUGGCUUUCUUGAAGAAGAAUAUUUUUACAAGAUUUGGUACUCCAUGUGCAAUCAUAAGCGAUGGGGGGUCACACUUUUGCAACAAGGCUUUUGACACUUUACUUGAAAAGUAUGGUGUUACUAACAAGGUCAUGACUCCCUAUCAUCCACAAGCUAGUGGUUAAGUGGAAGUCUCCAACAUGGAGAUAAAGCGUAUCUUGUCUAAAACGGUGAACGCUAAUAGGACGGAUUGGUCCAAGAAUCUUGAUGAUGUGCUAUGGGCUUAUAGGACGGCUUAGAAAACACCUAUCGGAAUGUCUUCAUACCAGUAAGUUUUUGAGAAAGCUUGUCAUCUUCCGGUGGAACUAGAGCACAAGACAAUGUGGGCUUUAAAAAAAUGAAUCUUGAUUGGGAUGUAGCCGCUAACUUGCGGGUUGCACACUUGAAUGAGUUGGAUGAGUUUCGGUACCAUGCAUAUGAGAGCUUGUCCUUGUACAAAGAAAAGAUGAAAUAACUUCAUGACAAAUACAUUUGGAACAAAGAAUUCAAGGCGGGUGAUCUUGUAUUGUUGUUUAACUCAAGGUUGAGCAUGUUUCCCGGGAAGCUCAUGUCCAAGUGGAGUGGUCCAUUUGAAAUUGUUGGUGCGACACCUUUCGGUGCAUUGGACUUGAAGAACAAGAACAAUGAAGUAUUCCAAGUCAAUGAUCACUAGGUGAAGCACUAUUUGGGUAAAGUUGGAGAGAGCCAUGUGGUGGCGGUCCUUUACUUCACUUGAAGAUGCUUAGACAUUACUUCGUGUCGCGACGUUAAAUCAGGCGCUUCUUGGGAGGAAACCCAAGUUCUUUUCCUUUUUCUUUUGUAGUUAGGUGUUAUUUGUUUUUUUCUAACUUGAUUUGAAGUGUGCAAUAAGGUUGAGUGUUACAUGCAAGAAGGGUGUACAAAUAGAAAAGUGUUGAAGGAAAUACGGACCUCACAUUUUAAUUGUGCGGCUGCAGAAUUAAUUGUGCCACAGUAGAAGAACUUGUACAGCCACACAUUUCACAUGUGGACUGCACUUCUGAAAGUUUAACAAAAUGUUAAAUUUCAAACUCUCUGAAGUUGAGCCUAUCAGUCCAGGGCUAAUCUGCGGCCACGAGAGGAAUUGGGCGGCCACACUCAAAAAUGUGUGGACCGCACAAGUGACACAGACCAUUGCUGCCCAAGUGAAGGAGUGCGGACCGUACUUGGAAUUGUGCGGCCGUACUCAACCUUGUAACCUUUUAACAGUUCUAAGUAUAAAUAGGAGUUCUACAUUCAUUUUACAAUUUUUUUUCCCUCCUUACAAUCAGUGUUAGUCUAGAAGCUUCACUGGGGAUUUUUCUCUGCCAAACACACACACCCAUCUAUGUUCACACGAUCUAGUACACUCACUUCAUCUGGUAUGCCUCACUUUAUGUUAAUAGUUUGUGUUAUUUUAAUUUUUAAAUUUCUUUAGCUUAUUUUUAGGCUAUCUAUUAUUAGAGUUCAUCCAUGUAUCCAUGUGGAGUAGAUCUAUACUGGGUGGUCGUUAAUACAUGCUAAAAUGGGUUGGGUUAGUUAAAUUUCAUGUGUAUACCAUGUUGCCACGUAGAUUUGAACUAGUAUUUGCAAAAAGUAGGUAACAAGAAAAGUCAUGUUCGUUAAGGUUUGAAAUAUGUGGCCGCACUUAAAUUUCUACGGACCGCAGUUGUUGAUUUGGUAACAGGUGAAGAUAAGUGCAUUCUGUGGCCGCACUUUAAUUGUGUGGACCGCAGAAUUCUUGGUGAGGCCGCACUAAAGUCCGCACUGUCUUCAGAGACUUAUCUUUUAAAAUGACAAAAGUGCGGACCGCACUUAUAAUUCCACGGACCGCAGAUGAAUUUUGCGGCUGCACUUUAGUUGUCGCAUUGUCUUCAAAGAGGAAGAAUCUAAGCCUCUGAUUUUUUUUGUCAGAAGUGCGGCCUCACAUGAAAAUGUGCGAUCUGCACUCCCAUUCUACGGUCGCACAUUAGAAAAGUGCAAACCGCAGAUCCCAUGUUCUGCACCAUGUUCAUCAUGUUGUAACCUUAUUGUGUCCACAUUGUUCUCCCUUGUGUACUUGAGUCUUAACUGUGUUGAAUGAUGACUUGCAAAUAAUAAUUCUCUUUGUUUUUAUACAGAUAAUGGUUCGAUCACGAGAUCGCGGCGAAACUGCCAAUGGUAGAGGAGAGUCUUCUAGGGGUCGAGGCAGUGGUGCCUUGCACCUCAGUGUGCCCAAGACUAUUAGGAAGAAAGCCACAGCAGGCAAAUGGAGGGGUGCAUACCUCUCCUAGUUUAGUUCUUAUGCCCCAUCUAAAGAGGCUUUCAAGGGCAACUCAAUGUCUAUUCCGGAGGAACAAACAGCUGAGCAGUCCGGGCCACAGGGGCGAUCUGAGCCUCUAGAUGUGCCUUCAUCAUCUCACAGCACUUUUGAGGGUUCGAAAAGUGAUAGCCAGGCUUCCGAGCCAGCUGCUCCAGUAUCUGGUGCACAUGAUAUUCUAGAUGAUGGGAGAGGGGGAGAAGGUAUAUCUACCAGGUUUGAUCGGACAAAGAAGAAGGAAACAUGGGAAGAUAUAUUUAUGAGCAUGUCUGCCUUUACUGAUUUUUGAAUGUUGUAGCCGCUGAGGUUAUUAAUGCAUGAGCAACAGUUCCUAUUGAAGGAUCUUGAUAGAUACAACCCUGCAGUUUUUGAGCAGUUCAGGACGAGAAAGGGAUGGAUGUUGUUUACUGAGAAGGUAGUGGGUGUUAAGGAGCACCUUGUCCAUGAGUUUUAUGCCAAUAUUUCACACAAUCGCAAGGGAAAAAAGGUGACCAAAGUACGCAACCUCAAGGUGUAGUUUAAUCACCACACGCUGAACACGUACUUGGGAUUUGAGGACUUGGAACCAAAGGAGUACUUGGAGAAGUUGGCCUUGAAAGAAGAGCCCAACCAUGGCUUGCUGAGAUCUUGGCACCGGGACCACCUCCACAAUGGAUUACUGUUAGGGUACCUAUUCUCCGAAGUAUAUUGAGCUUUGAGGCAAAAGGUUGGCAAACCUUUGUGUGCAACAGGCUUGACCCAUGCCAGAAUGAGAACAACUUGUCUGUUCCACAUGCUGUUCUAGUGGCUUCUAUCAUGGCCGGGAACCCGAUCAAUGUGGAUGCCCUGAUGUCGGCCAACAUUUCUUUGGUAAAGCAGAAGACUAACACGACUCACCCCUACCCCAGCACUAUUACAUAGUACCUCACAGAUGCAAAGGUAGAGCCCAAGCCAUUUGAUACAAAGGUAAAUCCUAAGAAGCCGUUUGAGUGGCACUCGCUGCAGGAUCCAAGCAACCCGAAAAAGAGUUCUCAGCCUUCUAUUACUGUAGGCCAAUCUGAUGAGCCGAUAGUGGUAGUUUCUGACAUAGUUGAUAUUCCAUUCACAUCAGCUGAGCCCUCUACCAAUGCAUUAGCUACUAUGCCUGAGCCGUCAUCUUCAGCUCAUCCUACAGUCCCUUCCACAACUCCUAAGGCUGCCCCUACUCUGAUUCUGAGGCUGGUGCCCGCCUACAGGCCCACUUUCUGCUCUGCGAGUCUCCCAGACAUUGGCGAGUCUCAACAACUGGAUGCAGGCAGCUACCUCAAAGCUGUCUGAGAUAUCUACUACUAUUGCAGGUCUGUUAUCCACACAGGCACCGCGGGAUUCUACUGAGCUUGAUGAGAAGCUGGGAAAGAUUCUGGAUAACCAGAAGGUGAUCAUGGACCCACUAGUACAUCAUGGUUCAGUUAUUGAGGUCUUGACCAAACAGGCCAAGAAGAUGAGGAAAUCUCAAGCCAGCAAGAAGUCUGUGAAUGUGCUACGAGAAGAGGUGACCCGGCUAGCUAUAGUUGGGGAUUUUAUAUUGCUUGACCCAGAUCAGUCCGCCCCAGAUCCAUUUGCACAGUUUGCUCUAGCUGGCCAGUUUGAGGAGCCAUGCCUUGCCGUCGACACUACUGACGCAAUGCGUGUGAUGUUCACCACUCCCGCCACUCCCAAAUAUGAUGAUGAUAUUCAGUUGGUUGAGCCAACAGAGGUUGAUGCUGCUGGGGACACUGAGAUGUUCAAGGAUGCUUAGGGAAUUUCUUCGCCCUCUCUCUUUUUACUCUUAUUUUGUUAAGCAUUGGGGACAAUGCUUACUUUUUAUUCGGGGGGGGGGGGGGGUUAUAGNNNNNNNNNNNNNNNNNNNNNNNNNNNNNNNNNNNNNNNNNNNNNNNNNNNNNNNNNNNNNNNNNNNNNNNNNNNNNNNNNNNNNNNNNNNNNNNNNNNNNNNNNNNNNNNUNUGUGUUCUNUNUUNUGUGUGUGUNGUNGGGGGGGGGUUUAUUUAAUGAUACAUUUAGAUACAUUUAGACUGUAAUAAUUGGAUGAUUCUUUUUUUUUUUAUCUAUCUUUAGUUAGUUAUUGCUUUCAUUAGCUUCUUCAAUUAUUUACUUUGAUUUUUGUUUUGUUAGUAGCUUCUUCUUAUAUUAGUAGUUUUCAUGUUUUUUGUAGUAAUAUGGAUAAUAAGCCUUUGCUUUUUUUAAUGUCACGGUUCUUUCCAAAGGUAGUCUUUUGUGUGAAUCGGGUGACUCUUCCCGAGGAUGGAUGGUGUGGCAACUUUCUUAAGGGAAUGAGUCUGUUUUUGUGUUUAGCUAAUAAUAAUAGUAGUAGUAAUGAAUAAAAGCCCUAUAAAAUCAUUCUCUAACAAGAGUUAUUCAUGCUUCAUUUGGCACCAACAUACUUAACUAUGUGCUUAUGGUUUGAAACAAGAUUUUUGAAAGAAAAUAGCUCUAGUUAGUGACUUUGAGACUCUUGAAUUGACUUGAUAAUCAUUGAGUGGUUAAUUGGACCAUAGUGAUAUUUAACUUGAUUGUGAUUGUUGUAGGUUGUAGACUCUAUCCUCUUUUACGGUCUAGUUGCAUGAGGGAUGAGGUGCUCCUAAUGUGCUACAAGGCAAAAUCCUAGGUUUGCUUGGUUUGGAAGAUGAUUGUAGGCUUUCCUUGGUCCGUUUGAGCUUUCUAUUGCCGCCCAAUGCUUGUUUUCCCUAGUCAACCCCUUUGAGCCUUUAUCCUUUCUUUAUUGGUAACCGUGCUACAAGCCUUUAUCCGUUUUGUUGUAAUCAUCUCUUGGCACCCCGACCUUUUUUAACACUCUUAUGAAAUAAGCGGCUUAAGGCAUAAGUUUGGGGGGAGAGUUGAGGAAUUUGAAAGAGGUAUCAAGGCACCUGUAAUGACCCAAAUGGUCAUUUUAAGCUCUAGUAGGUUGUUCGGCGGUUUGAGACCUUGAUCAGCUUCACUUCAUGUUUUAUGACUUGUACGUGUGGUUUGUAUUGAAUUUCGGAAGGUUCGGAGUUGAUUCGAAUGGAAAAUUCUCAAUUCGGAAGCUUUAAGCUGGAAAAGUUGACCAAAGUUUGAAUUUUGAGUAAACGACCUCAGAAUCAGGAUUUGAAGGUUCCAAUAAGUUUGUAUGAUGAUUUCAGACUUGGGCGUAUGUUCGGGUUGAGUAUCGGGUGGUCCAGAAGCAUUUUAGUGCAUAUUGUGGAAAGUUGGCAAUUCGAAGGUUUUAGAAUUUCUUAAGUUUGGUUUGAAGUGAACUUUGGUGUUAUCGAUGUCUGUUUGGUGUUCUGAGCCUUAGAAUAGGUUCAUAUCAUGAUUUAUGACUUGUACAUAAAGUUUGGCGUCAUUCCGAAAAGUUUAAGUGUAAUUCAGACGAGUUCGUCGAAGUUUGAAUGUUUGAAAGUUAAAAGGAGGAGUUGACCAUCGAUUCAUGGUUUUGGUGUUUUUUAGUGAGAUUUAAGGCCUCGAGCAGGUUCGUGUUAUAUUUUGGGACUAGUUUGUGUAACUGGACGGGGUCCCGGGGGCCUCGGGUGUGUUUCGGAUAUGUUUGGGUUGUGUCGCGUUCUUAUUUGAUAUUUCGGCGUCGUUUUCUUGGGUAUAAAGGAUACUAUAUUGAGCAAACGACCUUUAAUUUGUAAUUUGAUUGAACCAUUAGAUCUGUAUCGUAACUACGGAGUCAUAGCAACAAGAAUAAUCGAAUUCUGAUGUCGUAUGAGAGAGUUAUGCCCAUUUUCAUGUCGGAAAAGAUUGAUGGUGUUGUUGAUGCUCAGGUAUCGCAAUUGCGAAUAUUUGUACGCAAUUGCGAAUAUUUGUUCGCAAUUUGCGAAGAUUGUAGAUAUUUGCCUUGGUUUGCAAUUGCGAACAUUAUUCGCAAUUGCGAAGCCUGUAGAUUUUUGCCUUGGUUCGCAAUUACGAAGUCUAUAGAUUUUUGCCUUGGUUCGCAAUUGCGAACACUUGUCCGCAAUUGCGAGGGUCCGUAGGAGGCGGGAUUUUGGAGACAUUCUCUUGUCUGCACCUGGUAAAAGUGCUGGGAGACGGAAUUUUGGAGACAUUCUCUCAUUUUUGGAACCCUAGGUUCGGUAUGAGGCGAUUUUGGAAAGGGAUUUUCUUCUACAAUCUUUGGGUAAGUAAUUGUGUUCAAUUUCCAACUAUUUUAUGUGGAUUAUAUAUAGAUUUUAACAUAGAAUUGGUGGAAAUUGGGGGACUUUUGAAGAAAAAUCUCUUAAAUCGUAUUUUUGGAUUUUGACCACGAAAUUGGACAUGGAAUUUGGAAUAAAUUAUAUAUUUGAGUUCGUAAUGUUAUUGGUAAAGUUUAUCUUUGAAAAUUUUUGGAAUUUGGGCACGUGGGCUGAGGAUUAACUUUAUUAACUUUUCGAGCGGAGUUGGGAAUUGUUAUAAAUUGAUUAAUUAUAAGAAUUGGAGUAUAUUUUGAUUGAUUUGUACAUUGUUUAACUAAUUUCGGAUCGUUUGGCUUUGAAUCGAGGUGUUAGAGAGGCAUUGGAGCCGGUUAUGAAAAUUCAAAGCGAGGUAAGUCUCCUGUUUAACCCUGUGAGGGAGAAUUUACCCUGUAGGUGUUAUAUUCUUAUGUGCUACAUGUUGUGGGAUCUACGCACGUAUGAGGUGACGAGUGUCUGUGCGUAUGCUAGGAUUCCUGAUUUGUCCGGGUAGACUUAGAUUUACGCCAUGCUUUAAUUAUACUAUUUGAGUUAUCCUUGCUUGUUUAAUUCCUUUAUUUUGUGUUACGACUUGAGACUAGGCUUGCGUAGAGUGAUAAACUCGCUAUUGUAAGAGAUUUGACGAGCUACUUGAUUAGCCGCGGAAUAAUUGUACUUCCCUUAUGAAUUUCUCUCGCGUUGUGAGUUUUCAUCGAAAAGCUUCUUUAAAUUUCAUAACUUACACGAAUAUUCGUGAGUGGGGUCAAGGACCCGUUAAAACUUCUUAUUCUUAUGGGAUCGGGCCAUUCGCCUUGAUAGGAUUAUGUACCACACUCUUAUAUGAUAGGGUCGUUCGCCUCGGCAGGAUUAUGUACCGCACUCUUAUAGGAUCGAGCCAUUCGCCUCAAUUGGAUUAUGUACCACACUCUUAUGGGAUUGGGUCGUUCACCUCGAUAGUAUCAUAUUCCUAUGGGAUCGGGUCGUUCACCUCGACAGUAUCAUAUUCUUAUGGGAUCGGGCCAUUUACCUCGGCAGUAUCAUAUUUUUAUGGAAUCGGGUCAUUCGCCUAGGUAGCAUCAUAUUCUAAUGGGAUCGGGCCGUUCGCCUCGGCAUUUCUAUAAAUACUCUUAUGGGAUCGGGUCGUUCGCCUCGGCAUUUCUAUAAAUACUCUUAUGGGAUCGGGUCGUUCGCCUCGGCAGCUUCAUGAAACACUCUUAUGGGAUCGGGUCGUUCGCCUCGGCAACAUCGUGCGUAAUAUUUGACAAGAAGCCGUCGUAUCCAUGAGUUUUCCUGAUUUGAGUUGUGAUGACCUAUCUGGUGGGAACUAUUUUAUAUAUAUACUCCGGUUGAGGAGGUAACCGAUAAUUGAGAGCUUGUGUUUACUGUUCAGAGGAGGAUCGUAUCAGUACCUAUAUUUGUUUACACUAUUUAUUUACCAUGCCUCAUACUUGUUUACUUUCUAUUGUACUUGAUUUAUUGGACUACUAGUAAGUGUCAAUGUCGACCCCUCAUCACUACUUCUCCGAGGUUAGCCUAGAUACUUACUGGAUACGCGUUAAUUUACGUACUCAUGCUACACUUCUGCACUUAUUGUGCAGGUAUAUAUUUCUGGUGGUCUUUUGGAUGCAAAGGCGUAGCUAUUGCGAGGACUUUACGAUGAGUUGCAUCCUAUGUUACGAUCCGCAGCAUACGGUAUCUCCAUCAGAGUUAUUUAUAUUUUUCCUGUCUAACCUGUAUUCCAGACAGAUGUUUUAUUGUUAUUGUACCUUCUAGUAGAUGCUCAUGUACUUGUGACACCGAGUUUUGGGGGUUCCUAGUGGAUGUUCAGUAUUGUAGUUCAUGUUAUUAUUAUUAUUUUGCCUUGUAAUUUAUAUUUUAUACGGGAUUUGGUAAAGAAAAUCACAGGUUUCUACGAGUGUCAGAUUUUACUCUAUUUAUGAUUUUAAAAAUAACAAAAUGAGUAAUUAAGUUGAUAAUUCACCGUUGGGCGCCAUCACGGCCAAUAGUGAAUUUUGGGUCGUGACAACACCAAAAAGACAAAAGAAAUGAUCUCUAUGAAAAGAGAAGGCAAGAAAAGAAAAGAACAAAAAGAAAACUCCAAAAAGAGAAUAAAAAGGAAGGUUGAUGAAAUCAAAAGAGACAACUAUCUCUAGUAUGAGCAUCAAGGGAGAAAAAGAAUGAAAUGAACAAAAAAAUAGAGUGAUAUCAAGUCUCUCUAGCCCCCAAUAAAUGGAAAUGCCUCUAAGAGUUGGUAAAUGUGAGCCAAGAAAUGAAAAUAUGGAGUGCAUAAGGAAGGGUGUAACCACUUAUCCCAUAUGGUAUCCUACCCCAAUCCAAAAACCUUCAUUACAACCCGAAAGAAGCCCUACUUGAUUAUGAACCGAGUAAGCUUACAUUAGUGAUAAUCUACAUGAGGGGCAAGCCUAUGGUACUUGAAACCUUACUUGUGACAUUUCUUUCUGAGAGAAGAUUGAACCUUUCAUUGAUCUAAAGAUUGAGUGUUAAUUCUUGAAGUGAGCUUGGCAAAUAGAAGGCAGAUGAGGAAGAGUUUGGGGUCUACCAUGAUUUACAUGAUAGAAUAAGAGUUGUCAAUUUUUUAAAGCUCAAGUGUCACAUUAGAGUUAUAUGUGCAUAAUAUGUGAUUUGUUACCUUAUUGAAAAAUGCAUGAGUAUUGUAGGUAAUUGUUGGUCCCAACUAAGUAUGAAUGGUUUACAAUUGACUCUUUGAAAUGACCUUUCACUUUGAGGAGGUGGGAACUAAUUUAUUUUCUUGAGAACAAGCAAAGACUUAAGUUUGGGGGAGUUGAUAAGUGUGGAUUUUAACCGCUUAUUAGUACCUUCUUGCUUUAGUUUUAGUCCGAAAGUAUUGAUUCAUGUUCCCAAAACUAAUGGAAUUGUACAAAUUGCAGGCAUGUCGGAGAAUUAGACCUCAACGGAAGAAUCUAACUUAAAAAGGAGUGUUCCAACUCAUAAAAUCAAGAAGGAGUGCAGCAGGCUAAAGUGCGGUCCGCAGAAAGAAUUCUACAGCCACAGAAGAAAGUGCGGUCUGCAGAAAUACCUCUGCGGCCGCAGAUCUGGUACUUAAAGCUUAGAGGGUGUUUGGAGAAGUGCGGUCCGCACACUAAAUGUGCGGCCGCAAAAUAAGGUAGCACUGACAAGAAUUCAAAAAGUUCAGAGACUGUGCAAAUGACCAAGUGUGAAGCCUUGCAAAAAGUGUAGCUGCGGAAGGAAAAGUGCGGCCGCAGAAGCUGAAGUGCAGUUGCAAAUGGAAUUGUGCGGGUGCAGAAUCUCUACACUUGCUGGAGCUAAGAAAAGUGCGGACCGCACAUGAAAUUGUACGGCUGCAGAACCUCCUGAAGGGCAUUUUUGUCAGCGAAUUUUGAGCUAUUAUAAAUAGACAUGAAAUACUUUUUUAGGGCAAGUUUUGUAAUAUUUAGACCUGUAGCCGUUAUAUUUUAUUGUUUUGGGUAAUUAGUGACAUUUUUGGGCUAAAAAUUAUUAGUUUUAUCAAUUUAAUCUUAGUUAUGGCUUUAAUUAAUUCUUCUUCUAUGUUUUCUUCAAUUUCUACAAUGAGUAGCUAGAUAUUCUCUAAGGUUGUGACCCAACCCUAGUGUGUAAUCCUUAUGGGUGAUUGAUUUAAUGCUUGAUUAUGAUUGUGUGUUUAUUAUUUUGCCUUGUUCAUGCAUUAUUUCUAGAAUUAAUGGUUGCAAAUAUUUAUUCAUGCCUAUUUGACUUGGUUCUUACUUGAGAAAGAGGAACUUAGUCUAAGAAAACUUGGCUAACAAGAAAUUGGGCUAGUUAAGGUUUUGGCUAGUCUAAUUAAAGGGUUUGAACUAGAGAUAGAAAAAACCCGUCUUGAGCUCAUAUCAAUUAUUUGAAUUGAUACCUAAUUGGGCUUGAGGAAGCCAAUUUGGGCAAAAUCACUCUAUAAUUGAGAGGUAUUUAGUGGGUAAUUUAGAGUUAAGAGUUAUAAUAUAUCCCGGUCACUAAAACAAGCAUUAACGUGAUUUAUCCAUUAGGCUAACACCUAGGUGAAGGUUAAAUCCCUAUGCCUUUUACCCAUUUGAUAAAAACAACAAAAAUAAUUACUUGUUUUCUAGUUUCUUCUCCUUAGUUGAUAAUUGUUAGUGUUAUUUUAGAAGUAGAAAAUAAAAUCCCUUGUUUGGAAGCGCAAUUAAGCUAUUUCAUUUACUCUCAUCAAGUGUACACCAUAACACUCAUAUUAAACUCCAUGUGGAAAUUGUCCCCGACUCUUGUUGGGUACUAUUCUUCCAACGACCGUUUUCACUCACUAUUGAGUGCGGAUUGGAUGUGGAUCACUCAUCGCUCCUAUAAAUCUACUCUCCGAGAAAUGAGGGGACUAUCUGUGUAUGGGUAAAAUCGGGGAUAAAAGUUACUCCCGAUUUCCUGAUGAAGAACCGAGGAACAAUGUGAUUCGAUGUUGGCUCGGGUAAGGCCGAGGGUGACCACAGAUCGGAAUCCGGGGGUGGAUGAAUGAUACGUCGGAGAUCGAGCAUGGUUAAACAUGGGAAGAAUCAAGCUCAAACGAAACAAAGUAUCGAGGGUAGAGGAAAAGACGGUUAAAGAGGACAAACGAGGAGCCGAAAUAUCCGCUAUCAGCCACAUAUUACGGCACAAAUCACGCCCGAUAUUAACUGCGGAUCUUGUUUUCUCGGGAUAUAAGGAAGGAAAGAAUUUUUACCUUAUUUAGACUUGUAUUAGGGUUAAAACUGCUCUACCAUAUAAAGAGGGGAACCUUUUCAUUUUUUGGGUCACUAUUGGCAUGCAUAUCGAAGCAAUAAAGUUUACUUUUGUCUUUUAGUAAUUGUUCAAGUGUUCUUCAAGUUAUUCAUCCAUUCAGUUGCAACUGAGCUCCAUUCCGAGGGCUCGAUUGGAACCGGUCUUUAGCAUUCAAAUCUAAUGACAGGCUUAAUUACUUCGUCACAUUUGAUUUGAUCGUUUUGUUUUCCUUUAAUUCAAUUACUUGAUGUUCUUUGACCAUUCGUGUUAAAUCGAAAUCACGUAUCUUUUAAACCGUGUACAACUUUAAUUGUUAUCCAUUUUUAGGAUAAACAAACAUGAUAAAGAAAAUGCCAAAAUGAAAUGGAGUUUUCUUAACGUACUUCGACUAUUAUAGUUAAUAUUAUUAGCAGUUAGUUGGCUCUACAAUCAUGUCAGAAGAAUACUUGGCAUCAUUAACGGAUAAAGAACUCAGUACCUCCCCAUUACCUCUGUAUAGUUUAUGUGUGUUGCAUGUUACCCAGUACUGUUAUACUCAAAUAUACUCUAAUAACCAAUACUUUCAAAAAGGUUGCAUAUCAUGGUAAACCUGCUUUCAUAUCAAAGUUUAUGUUAUACUUGCCUUUGCAACUAAAGGGAUAAAAAUAUUUCUCUCCUAACAAAAACAAGAAAAUGUAUCUUCUGCCUGUUUCAAUUCUCUUUACAAAUUUUCUCUUGGUCAUACACUAUUUUACUCUUCUAGUUUCUAACUGUAUUUCAAAUAAAAAAUUUGCCUUCUAUUAACGAAUUUUUAUAUAUGGUUUUAAAUUCAGGAAGACUACAAUCGUAAGGCGCUUGCAUAAGUUUUUAUUGGUAUUUGGUGGUUGAUUUUCUAUUUUAUCUUAUCAUAGAGCUCAUGCAGUUUGCAAUUAAUUCAAGUUUAUAUUUAUAUCAAAGUAGAAGCAAAGAAGACAUGUACAGAAUUUGAUUACAAUUAUAGGAAUCAUUAUGGUAGCUAUGCAUGCGUUUUUCUUUUUCAGUAGAAAGCAAAAAAUUGUUCUGUCAUUUUUAUACUUUUUACUGCAAAUUAUACAGGUCUUUUCCAUACAUAUUCAAGGUACUUUAAUUUAAUUGGAAAAGGAUCAAAAUAAUUUUCUAGUCUUUUUUUUUUGUAGUAUGACUUACAUAAUUAUCGCGGAAUAAUAUUUCAACAGCACAAGAGAUAACUAACAUCUUCGCGAAAUAAUUUGUUUUUAUCGAAGUGAGAUAACAAGGACCAGCCUAGUGCCAGCUACAUUCGUCCCUUCAACUAGUUAAAGCAAGCACUCCAGCUGUGGGACAUUUAAUUUACGGUAAAGGGCCAAAUAUCUUCUUCUAUUUUUUAAAAUGGUAUAAGAAUAUCCCUCGUUAUACUAUUGGGUUAUCCAUACCCCUGCAGUCAUACUUUGGAUUCAAAUAUACCCCUCAUUUAAACGGAAGGACACGUGUCAUCGUCCUGUUGGUCAAUUCUAAAUAUCUCCUAAUUAAUUAAAAACACUCAUUACUCAUACCCGAAAAACUAAACUUUUUUUUUGUUAAAAACUAAAAACNNNNNNNNNNNNNNNNNNNNNNNNNGAGUAUUCUUAGACCAUUUUCAAAAAUAAAAAGAUAUAUUUGGCCCUUUGCCGUUUAAUUUAUCAACUUUGAAUUAUGUAAACUCUUCUAGGGAAAAAAAAUGGAUAUCUCCUAGUUUCUGGGGUUGCCUCGGCUUAACGUAGAUGUAAUAUGAUUUUACAUGUAUAGAUUGAUAGUACAAGAAAUUAUCAUUAUCAAUAUAUUUUAUUGUAAUAAAUAAAAUAUUACAAUUAUUUGUAAUAUAUUUUAGAUGACCCAAUAAUUGAGAUUCUCUUUGUAAUCUAAAGUUUUUAGCAACUUUAUGAGAGAAAGUAGAGUUUUAUCAUUAUUCAUUAGUAAAGUGUACCCUUGUAAUUCGUAAAAUAUCAUGUCCGACAUUAUUUGACCUAAUUUAAUUAUAGAGUUUUUUCUUUGAUCCUAUCAUUGUAUUUUUAUGCAAUUAAUUAAUAUUUGCAUCUCGAUUACAGUGGAUAUUAAGAGGAUAUUUGGCUAAGCUUAUAAGUUGGUAACUCGCUUGUAAGUAAGUACCUUUUGACUUAUCUACGCGUUUGGUAAACACCCAAGGUGCUUAUAAGCCAAGUGAUUAUAAGUUAAAAUCAGUCAUAAGUCAUAAGUUGUGACUCCCUACUUAUGACUUUUUAGCUUAUAAGCACUUUUAGUUUGACCAAGUCUUUUACUAGUUUAUCCUUAAUAAUAUUUUCUAAUACACAAAAUAUUUUUCUCAAAAAAAAAAAUUCUAACUUUCUUUUCAUUCCAUAUUCGUUGUUCAUCUUUUUCUUUACAAAAAAAAAAUUUAAUUUAUAAUCUUUUGCAAAGUGUUAAGGAUAUUUUAGUCAUUUUAAUUAAAAAAAAUAACUUAUCAGCACUUUUCUACCAAACACAUCAACUGUUUAUUAUUAGUUUCAGUACGUCUAUCAGUUUUACCACUUAAAAAUAUUUUUCAAUAGUUCAACCUUAUCAGCUAUUUACAAUAAGCUAAUCCAAACGAGCUCUAAGAAAUUGGAUUAGAUAUUUUAAUUUUCUGUGAAUUUAAUUUUAAGAAAAAGAGUUGAUAAAAUUGGUAUUGACAAAAAAGAAAAAAGCUUUAGUCACAUAUAACCAAUAUGGAGUAUAAUAUAAAAAUUUCUUCCCAGAGGACAUAAUUUGAAACGAGCAAAAAGAAAGUAGUGCUAGUUUCCAAGUCUGUAAUUUAUUCGUCCAAAUGAAUAAAUCAUUACCAGGCAAGUUUACACCAAAUAAUCGAACAAUAAUUCAACUAAGAACUUGUCAUAAUCACAAAUCUUAACUUAAAUAACAACAACAACAACAACGAUCCAGUGAAAUCCUACUAAUUGGGUUUGGGGAGGGUAGUAUGUACACAGACCUUACCCCUACCCGAGAAAGUAGAGAGCCUGUUUCCGAAAGACCCUCGACUCAAGAAGACAAAAAGAGACAAUAUUAGUAUCACCAAUAGAAAUCAUAGAAAAAAUAACAUCAUAGAAAUGAGAAAUUAGAUGCAAAGCAAAAGGCGAUAGACUACAUAGACCCGGCACUAUGGUAAACAAAGGAGUAGUAAGACACAACAAUGCCACUAACUGACAUUGACAAAAACCCUACCAGACUAGCCUCANNNNNNNNNNNNNNNNNNNNNNNNNNNNNNNNNNNNNNNNNNNNNNNNNNNNNNNNNNNNNNNNNNNNNNNNNNNNNNNNNNNNNNNNNNNNNNNNNNNNNNNNNNNNNNNNNNNNNNNNNNNNNNNNNNNNNNNNNNNNNNNCCAUGUCCUCGGAAAUCUGAAGCCUCGCCAUGUCCUACCUGAUCACCUCUCCCCAAUACUUCUUAGGUCGUUCUCUACCUCUUCUCGUGCCCUCCAAAGUCACCCGCUCACACCUCCUUACCGGAGUAUCUGGGCUUCUCCUUUGUACGUGUCCGAACCAUCUAAGCCUCGCUUCCCGCAUCUUGUCAUCAAUGGGAGUCACGCCCACCUUCUCCCAAAUAUCUUGAUUCCUAAUCUUAUCCAUCCUAGUGUGUUCGUACAUCCACCUCAACAUCCUCAUUUCUCCUACUUUCAUCUUCUGGAUAUAUGAGUUCUUAACAGGCCAACACUCAACCCCAUACAUCAUGGCCGAUCUAACCACCGCUUUGUAAAACUUACCUUUGAGUAUCGGUGGAACUCUCUUAUCACACAAGACUCCAGAUGCUAACCUCCACUCCAUCCAUACCACCCCAAUACGGUGUGUGAUAUCCUCGUCAAUCUCCCCUCCUAUCUGGAUAACCGACCCAAGAUACUUGAAAUUGUCAAUACUUGGUAUGACCUGUGAUUCAAGCCUCACUUUCACGCCCACUUCCCUCGGCUCAGUGCUGAACUUACGCUCCAGAUAUUUCGUCUUCGUCCUUCUUAGCUUGAAACCCUUAGAUUCAAGGGCCUGUCUCCAGACCUCCAACCUCUCGUUAACACUGGUUCGCGACUCAUCAAUCAGAACUAUGUCAUCGGCGAAUAACAUACACCAUGGCACCUCCCCUUGAAUAUGGUGUGUUAACGCGUCCAUUACCAGGGAAAAUAAGAAUUGGCUGAGCACAGAACCUUGGUGUAACCCCAUAACAACUGAAAAAUGCUCGGAGUCACCUCCUACUGUCCUAACCCGAGUCCUAGCCUCAUCAUACAUGUUCUUAAUUGCCCAAAUAUAGGUAGCCGGCACGCCUUUUACCUCUAAGCAUCUCCACAGAACUUCUCUAGGAACCUUGUCGUACGCUUUCUCUAAAUCAAUGAAUACCAUAUGCAGAUCAUUCUUCCUCUCCCUGUACCGUUCCACCAACCUCCUAAUAAGGUGUAUAGCUUCCGUAGUAGAACGACCCGACAUGAACCCGAACUGGUUGUCGGAUAUAGAUACUAUCCUCCUCACCCUCGCUUCAACCACUCUCUCCCAAACUUUUAUAGUAUGACUCAGUAAUUUGAUACCCCUAUAAUUGUUACAACUCUAGAUAUCACCUUUGUUCUUAUAUAACGGAACCACCGUACUCCACCUCUAUUCUUCUGGCAUCUUCUUCGUCCUAAAAAUAACAUUAACAGCCUGGUCAGCCACUCCAAGCCUUCUCUGGCCACACACUUCCAAAAUUCAAUCGGAAUUUCGUCUAGCCCGGUCGCUCUGUCCCUACUCAUCUUAUGCAUAACUCUCACGACCUCCUCAACCUUGAUGCGCCUGCAGUCCCCAAAGUCACGGACAGAGUUCGAAAAGGUCAAAUCUUUGAUGAUUCCAUCAUCUAUGAUUGAGUUGCGAAAACUUCUGGAUAGGUAUUAGCCAGCCUUGCGGCGGCAAAAGGAUUAGACGUCCCCCCAUGCUACGGUUCCCUGCGGUCCAAACCCGGUGCCGCUUUAGGUUAGGGAGCUGGACGAUAAUAGCUCCUCCGCAUCCCAAAGCGCGCUGCCCUCCUAGGCGCGCAACACUAAGUAAUCCAAGCCAACCCACAUUACUGGUGACUCUCGGAAUUUUUAAGUUCACCUAGCACAAUAUCCCGAUCCCCUUUUUCAUUCAGAAGUUCAUGAAAGUAAGUCUGUCAUCUCCUCUUAAUCUGAGCAUCUUCCAUCAAUAGUCUACCAUCAUCGUCCUUGAUGCAUCUCACUUGGUCCAAAUCCCGGGCCUUCCUCUCUCUCGUCUUCGCCAGCCGGAAUAACUUCUUCUCUCCGUUUUUUUUUUCCCCAGUUCCUCGUACAUACGGCCAUAGGCUGCAGAUUUAGCCUUCGUGACUGCCAGCUUGGCUUCCUUCAUAGCUACCUUAUACCACUCCAUGCACGCUCUCCUCUCCUCCUCACUUGUGCUCCCUACUAAUUUUAGGUAUGAUGCCUUCUUCGCUUCCACUUUACCUUGGACCCCUUCAUUCCACCACCAGUCUUCUUUGUGCCUGCCAGAGACGACCGUCAAGAUCCCUAACACCUCUCUCGCAACUUCCCUUAUACAGUCUAUUGUCGUCUACCAUAUAAUGCUCGCGUCACCAUUGUUCCUCCAGGCUUCCAUAGCUAACAACCGCCCAUCCAACUCCUAGGUUUUAUCCUUAGUCAAGGCACCCCACUUGAUUCUCAGUCAUUCUCGGUCAGACCUUUUUCCUUAUCUUUAACAUAAUACCAACAUCCAUCACCAAGAGCCUACAAGAUGCAACUUGGGAGAUUCUGUCGUAAAUUAUGUGUUUGUUAUCUAAGUUACGGUAGCAAAUCCUGCAAGAUGCUCCUUAUGUUUCUACUGUAUUUACACUGGAUUUAACCUAUAUAUACGGAACAAUAUAAUUUUUAAUAUCAUCAACAUAUUAUGUCAUAGAAGGUAACCUUUUUCAUUCAGAAGUUCAUGAAAGUAAGUCUGUCAUCUCCUCUUAAUCUGGGCAUCUUCCAUCAAUACUCUACCAUCGUCGUCCUUGACGCAUCUCACUUGGUCCAAAUCCCGGGCCUCCCUCUCUCUCGUCUUCGCCAGCCGGAAUAACUUCUUCUCUCUGCCUUUUUUUCCCAGUUCCUCGUACAUAUGGCCAUAGGCUGCAGCUUUAGCCUCCGUGACCGCUAGCUUGGCUUCCUUCAUAGCUACCUUAUACUACUCCAUGCACGCUCUCCUCUCCUCCUCACUUGUGCUCCCUACUAAUUUUAGGUAUGCUGCCUUCUUCGCUUCCACUUUACCUUUGACCCCUUCAUUCCAUCACCAGUCUCCUUUGUGCCUGCCAGAGAUGUCCAUCGAGAUCCCUAACACCUCUCUCACAGCCUCCUUUAUACAGUCUGUUAUCGUCGACCGCAUAAUGCUCGUGUCACCACUGUUCCUCCAGGCUCCCAUAGCCGACAAUCGCCCUUCCAACUCAUGGGCUUUAUCCUUAGUCAAGGUACCCCACCUAAUUCUCGAUCGUUCGGUCGGACCUUUUCCUUCUCUUUAACAUAAUACCAAUAUCGAUCAACAAGAGCCUGCAAGAUGCAACUUGGGAGAUUAUGUCAUAAAUUAUGUGCUUGUUAUCUAAGUUGCGGUAGCAAAUCCUGCAAGAUGCUCCUUAUGCUUCUACUGUAUUUACACUGGAUUUAACCUAUAUAUAUACGGAAUAAUAUAAUUUUUAAUAUCAUCAACAAAUUAUGUUAUAGAAGGUAAUCUGUGCGCAUUAUAUAUAUUUAUAUAUUUUGCUUUAUGUAAACAAUUAUUUUUAAUAUUUUUGUAUGACACAGUAAUAGUUUAACAUUCUUUUGUUAAUGUAUAUAAAAAGAACACAAUCGAAUAAACUCUUUUUCAAGAAUCUAGUCUGGUGGGAAGCUAGGCUGGAAGUGCGACUUUCGAAGCUACUUCCCAUUUCUUUCUGCACAUCAUCACUGAGACAAGUUGAUUUUGGGGAAACAUGUAAAUGACGUUAAUAUGAGAAUGAAUGAUAACAGCACUUCGGCAAGUAGCAUAUAAAUAAAGAAUAGGAGUAGUUAUAGUGAUUGCUUUAUCGCAAAUUAUGAAAAAUAAAAUUGUAUUUCUUCAAAUUUUUUUAUCUAAGUCGUAGCUAGGCCCAAAAAUGUAUUUUUAGAAACUAAAUCAUAAAAUUAUAGAAUUCAACCUAAAUCAUCUUAGAAAACCAGUAACAAAAAUGCAAAAUAUCGGACUUAAACAUAAAGACGACCACAUAAAAAGAUAGAAUUACGGUAAAGUACUGUCAGAAAUAGGAAAAAGUAGUAGACCGGACGGUGGUUGAAAUAGAAGAAUUUUGAGGCCAAAGACGGCCAACACUGACUGGGGCUAGAUCAAUAAGAAAGAUCGACGUCUCUAUUUUGACUGUCUUUUAAAUCCACUCGAAUCAAAAGUUGUAACCAUUCUAAAGUCCUCUCGACAAACAAAAACAUGUAUGGCUAGUUUGGCCAAGCUGGAAAAAUCAGUUUAUUUUGAAAAGCGUUUUUUUUUUCAAAAGUGUUUUUCUCAAAAGUACUUUUGGUGAUAAGCAGCUUUUGUUUGACUAAUUAAUUUAAAAAAUACUUUUGAGCAGCAAUUAGUGUUUGACCAAACUUUAAAAAAUUACUUCUAAAUGUAUUUUUCUCAAAAGUAUUUUUCAAAAAGUACUUUUAGAAUGAAGAUAUUUUUUUCUGCUUCUCCUUCUCCUCAAAAAUACUUUUUUUUCUUUCAAAAGCUUGGCCAAAUACCUUAAUUUUAGAAAAAAAAAUAUUUUUGACCAAAAAAAAAUAUUUUUGGCUCAAAAGAAGCUUGGUCAAGCAGCAUAUUAGUCUCAAUUUCCUGCGAACCUUAAUUUUACGGUCCAAAUGUAUCGACUAGUACUUGUUCUACAUCACUCGUAGAAAUAUUAAGGCUAAAUACCAUUAUAGCCCCUUGAACUUGACAUAAAUUGUAUGUUAAACACUUCAAUUUAGUUAGUGGUGAGAUAAACACUUCAACUCGAUAAAAAUAUGUGUAACUUAAGCCCACGAUGUUCACACCCCAAGAAAGUAUAGGGUGGAUGGUACAUCUUUUCUUGUGCUAUAAAUACAUCACUCUUCUCUUUACUUCACAUCCAUAGUGAAGGCCAGCUCAGAUUUCAGAGCUCUAAUCAGUUUUCUCCUUGCUACCCCAUUUCUUUUUAGUAUCUGAAACAAUGGCAUUCCAAAAGGCGUUCGCUGUUUUGCUUAUUGCAUCACUUGUGCUUGUCCAUUUCACUCAUGCCCUUCAACAGGUUCCUCUUUUUUAAAAGCUCAAAUACCAUGUCAUGUUUUAACUUUCUUUCAUCUUGUAACAACGUUUGAUUUUGGAAUAUUGAUGCAGGGAAAUAGCAGCAAGCCACCAGCACCAAGCCCUCAAGCUCCAAAGCCAUUAGGUAAUAUAUAUAACAUUUAUAUAUUUCCUCCACGACAAAUUAAUGUACAAAUUUCUAAAUUACGAUAAUUUUGAAUCCAAUAACUCUAAAUUCUGAAUUCGAUUAUGUUACAGAUUGCACAGGAGCUUGUAAAUAUAGGUGCAGUGAAACAUCUCGGCCAAAUCUAUGCAACAGAGCUUGUGGAAGUUGCUGCCGUACCUGCCACUGCGUGCCACCAGGGACCUCAGGCAAUUAUGAAGCUUGCCCUUGCUACUUCAACCUUACUACUCAUAACAACACCCGCAAAUGUCCUUAAACAGUGAUGGGAACUUACGUUUUCCCAAUUUGCAUGUUCUCCUCCAAAUGUUCCUCUUAAUUAUUGAAUUUGUUGUGUAUCAUUAAGUAUGCCAGCUGUUGAUUUUGAAAUAUAAUCAAUUUUUUCGUGUGUACGAUUGGAAGUUCAGAGUGUUUAAUGCAAUAUUAAUGGAUACAUACUGCUCCUAUUUAUUUGAUUUCUAUAGCCCUUAGCUUGUUGCACGUAGAAGAGGACUGUUAUCGCUGUCACUGUCUGUGGACUAUGGUUCCAAGCUAGCUAGUGUAUGUAGUUUCGUUUCGUAACUUGGAAGUACAAGGAGGUUGUUCACAUAUCCAAC